CGACUUAAUAAGAUUCGUCAGGAACUCCAUUUACCAAUAAGGUCCAACACCAACACAGGAUCUGCUAACAGGUGCUGUAGGAUUAAAUGCUGCCAACCCAAAUGCCAAGAAUGUCCAAAACUUAGUUGCACGAAAUGUUGCUGGAAACCUAAAUGGCCAACAUGUUGGAUACCAAGCUGUGUCAACUGUUGCCGGUGGCCUAAAUGUCCAAAAUGUUUGAGACCCUGCUGCUGCAUUCCAAAAUGUUUGAGACCCCUCCGCUGCACUAAUUGUUUUAACUGGCAAUGCUGCUGCACUAAGUGUUUUAACUGGCAAUGCUGCUGCACUAAGUGUUUUAACUGGCGAUGCUGCUGCAUCGAAACAAAUAGUGGGUUAAAUGGAAAACAGGAUGGGUAAUGGUGAUAAUGUAGUUGUAUAGACUAUAGAUUGCUGAACUUGCUAACACCUCUUUAUUAUUGUGCAAUAGUGUACAAAACAAGAGGAAGUAGUUAACUGAUAAUUUUAUUAAAAACAGAACAGUUUAAUGUUAUCAAGAUAUUGGUGGAUUCUUAUAGGUGUUAUACGUUUUAUGUGAAGUCUGUUGAAGUUAUUUUGCAAAUUGAGUUAUUCCAGAGGCACAUAACAUUUUACAUAUGUUUUGCUAUUAGGUUUGAAAUAUUUCUUAAUUUUCUAGUUGCAUGUCAUAAAAAACGGUAGCAUUCACUUUGAAUGCUUUUGCGAAACCUGAGUAAUGAUAUCAACUCGUAUUCUUGUACAAACUAUUGUGGCAUUGAUGAGUGAGCAACUAUAUUAUUAGCAAAAUCUCUAGAGGGGAAGUAAGAUUUACUAGUUUCAAACUUCGUUCGCAUGUAUGAAUUGAGAAUUUAGUUGUUAUUAUAUAUAUUAUACCUAUAUAAAAGUUCACAACAUUUUCAUCGAACCUAAUUGGUAAUCAGUAAGAAAGUGCAAUAAAAUCAGAGUAGAUUGAGUUUAUUAAAAAAGAAGAAAAAAAUGUAAUGUUACUUAUCUAACCACUAACAUCCAUCCGAACCACACCCAGAUCAAAAUAAAUUUAAAAAAAAAAAGUCAAUAUGAAGAAUUUAAAUAAAUUUAGUCCGAUUGAGGUUAGAUGGUGGAGUGAGUACUAUUUUUGAACAAAUUUAUAUUAGAUCUAUAAAGUUGAAAUUCAAAAUUUACAUCUUAAUUGAUGUGUUAUACAUUAAUUAUUAUUAUAAAAUUAUUUUUAUUAACAAUAAUAAAAGUUAUUAUUUUUAUGAACCACAUGACGGCCAUUAUAUGGUGACACUUCAUUUUGAGUACAAAAUUUUUGUCCUAAUCCUAACUUCGUAAUCCUAGUGUUAUUACUUACAGUUUAUAGAGGGAAAAUUGCAUGUCAAUUUUAGGCUUUUUUUUUUUUUUUAAUCUUAAAAGAAACCGCCAAAAUUUACCUUCCUGAGUAAGUUAACUAAUUAAUAAAUUUGAAGAAGCUGUUACUAACAUAGCUGAUCUGAACCGUUGGAUUAGAAGACAAAAAUCCAAAGGCUGUGGAAAUAGACCUUGGAGAAGGGGUAAAGAGGGAGUGGACAGGGUUUAAAUUAAGAGAAUUUAUUGUCGGUGAAAAAUUUCAGGCUAUUGUGGCUUAAAUCAGUAAGGAGGAAAAGAUUAAGAAAGUAUGAAAGCUUAGCUUAUAGGAAGCGCUAGCUAGCAGCUAAAGGAGAGCUGUUAUUAAUUAUCAUGCUGGAAAAUGAGUAGCUCAUGGGAAGAAAUGACUAAGAAAUAUGAAGCAGUUCUACGUAAUGAUGAUUUAAGUGUAAUGGAGGUGCCAUCAUUGCCAAACCUAAAGCGUAAGCCAAGUUGGCAUGAAGCUGGUGACCGUGACCACGACCAAGGCCAAAUUAGCACAGAUGACACCCAAGGCAAAAGUUGUAGCACUACGUAUGGUUUUAUAUCUUAUUUGUAAGUAAUGUCGAUCGUGAUUGCAAAUUAUUAUUAUCAUUUUUUUUUUUUGGGAUAUGGGUCACGAUGAUCAUGUUGACUAUAAGUUUGCCCCCAGGGGCCUGUCAAGUGGCUUUCAAGUUCGAGCAGCUAUAUUUGAUUGGUGACUAGAUUUCGAAAAUUUUGAGAAAAUAGGGAAAAAAAAUUGUAUUUAUAUGUUUACUUUUGUGGUUUAUGCAGUGGAGAAGCUGUUCAGAAGAUAAAGGCCAAGGAUGCAAGAGCGCGCAUCACCAAUGAGGUGAGUUUAAGAGGGUAAAAAAAUUUAUGUCAAAAUACAAAGUGCAGUGAAAUUAUUUCGGGAGUCUGUUGAAAAUACCAAACCUUUUGUGAUGCAACUGGCGGGGUUAACUAAUGGAUAUAUUGUAACGAAUUGAAUGCAGAUGAGAAAAGAAAUUGGAAUGGCCUUCAGGAAUCUGCCGCCUGGAAAGAAGUGCAAGUACACACGCGUAGGCCAGGGAGCGGUGGCGCAUGUUAAAGGGGAGAAACCGAAGUUUGUAUCAAGGUGUGUGCCGAAGCGAUUUGCGGUAGUGGUUGCCAACCUGACGGCGGAACAAAAAGCUGCUGCAUGCUCUUUGGGAUUUGGUAAACUUAUUGAGUUAAAUUGUGGUCGGUUGAAAAAAAAAUUAUGUGAUUGGUUAGUAGACAGGGUUGAUAUUGCAAGGUCGACUUUAUUAGUUCAUGGAAAGGAGUUGGAGCUUAGUCCACAGAGUUUUGGGUAUGUAAUGGGGAUCUCAGACGGAGGAAUGCAUGUGGAAUUAGAUGGGGACAAGAAAGAAGUUUCCGGAUAUUUAGAUAGGUUUGAUGCAACAUCUAAUGGUAUAAACAUUAAGAAAUUGGCUGAAAUGUUACGCGAGUCAAAGCAAGCAGAUGAUGAAUUCAAAGUCAUAUUCACACUAUUUACACUUCAUUCAAUGCUCUGUCCGACUGGUGGAGUGAAUAUAUGCUCGUCCUUCCUAUUGUCGAUCAAGGAUGUUAACACAAUCAGGUACAGGAAUUGGGCAACCUUCUGCUUUGGUAGGCUUAUGCAAGGAAUAAUGAGAUACAAGCAAGAGAAACUUGCACAUAUAGGAGGAUGUUUACUGUAUCUGCAGGUAAGGUCGAAUGAAUGAGUCAGCCCUUUUGCUUUGCUAUUGAAUUUUGCAUGUAUUUAUUUAAUUUCUUAAGAACUUGUAUGAGGUGGCUCAAUUAUAUCCAAUGGCAUAGCGUAACGAUUGAUGCAUAUUCGCGCAGAUCUUGUACAUAAAUUCUGUAGCGUAUUGGAAAGUACAAAGAGACUCAUCGAUGUGUCCUGUUGCUUUAUGGAAUGCAAAGGAGAUCCAAAGAUUUAUGAAGUGGUUGGAGAAGCAAGGAGGCAUUGGGACGGACAAGGUAUGUGAAUGCUAUGGCUUAAUUUAGGUUGGUAUAUAUAUGGUAGUAGCUUAAAAUAGUUGAGAUGAUUAGUGCAAAACGAGGAGGAGCCUCUCUUGGCUUAAAAGCGGCCAGGCUUUUCUCUACUUUCUUUUUUUUCUUUUCCUAAUCAUUUGAUUGUCCUAAAAAUCUCUUGAGUUUCUAAAAUUUUAAAAUACUAGCUUUUGGCUUUCUUUCCUUAUUUCUUUCUUUAUCCUUUUUCUCUCUCUUAAAAAUCAGAGUUUAUCUUGUAAAAAAUAAAAAUAAAGCAGAGUUUAUCAUUUAGGUUAAAAUAAUUUCUCUCAUCUCCCAUUUCUUAAUUUCUUUCAGAAAGCCUUUGCUUAAUUUGAGUACGUUUUGUUUUUAGCUUUCUAAUUCAUUAUUGCAUAAUCCAAGAAUUACAUUUUCCUUAUCUCUAAAAUGUCUUGAGAAAACUGGGCAAACUAGUGUAUUGAUUUUGAGGAAUUACAACUAAAUUUUAACGUUAUCUAUGGAAAACAUGACUUAAUUCUAAGACUUGUUACUUGCUACGAUCAUCCACAAUGAUUACUAUAUGUUUUAUUUCAUUUUGUAUUUAUUUAGGUUAAUUUCGAAUUAUCCUUCAUAAAUUGAUUAUCUUUAAAUUUUUCCCUUAUUUUUUAAAAACUUUAAUUUACCCCCCAUUUUUAUUAAGAAUACAAAAAAAGACAAAAAAAUUCAUCAACCCACCAGUCCACCACCAUUUUUCCCCUAUCUUUUGAACAAAAAUGGGGAUAACUUGAUGUUUUCAAAAGUAAAGGGAUAAUUUAAAAUAGUCAAUUCAUAAGAGGAUAAUAUGAAAUUUAUCUUUUUGGGUUUUUCGUUUUCUUUGAUCUAAUAAUUAAUCUAAUGGUCAAUUAAUUUUACUUUACCUUAGGAUCAUGGAGUAUUCUACUUCUACUCUUUAGGUUUAACCUUUAAGUGUAAGAUAGCUACAAUCUAAACUAGCACUAUUAUCAAUAAUUAAAGUCUUCAAAAUUAUUUGAGCAAAUUGAUGGGUUUUGUUUGGGAGUUGAUCCUUGAAAUGCCAAAAUUAUACUUUAAAACCAACUUGUUUAUCAUUAAUCCUUUUUAUUUUGCUUUACUUCUUGUUACAACUAAGUUGAGUCGUAUAACAUUUGGUACUAGCUAGAGCUGGACAACAGAUCAGGGAACAAUCCCAGCGAUGAAGUCACAUACAUAAAAUGGCGGAAUUUAUGAUUCCUAAAUAAAAGGAAUUUUCCAAAAGGAUUUUUUUAUACAAGAGAGAUGAAAUAUCAAGAGUGUGUGGGAUAAAAGAAGUCAUGCAUCCAUCAAGCACUAAAAUUAGUUAUGAAAAAUACAGUACUCAACGACGAGAAGACUUUAGUUUCAAAAUGGUGUGCCUUGAGAACAAGGUAUUUUUAAGACAAUGAUAUCCUUAAGAGAGAGAAUGAUGCGGUCAUUCACAAUAAUUCCUAGAUAGUUUAUUUUCAUUUGUAUUUAUCCUUUUCGCUGUUCUAUUUAUACCUUAUCCCGUAUUUUACUCUUAUUCUUUAGUUGUAACUAGUUACUAUUUAAACAAGCACUAUCAGCAAUAAGUUUCUUCAUAACUAUUUUAAAAGUUAGGUAAAUUGUAUUUGGGAGGUGUUGGUUCCUCGAAAUGCCAGUAAAAACCUCGAAUCAAACUGCAAGACAUGCCUUACUUUGAGACAAAAUCUUUAAGGAAGGAGUAUUAGUUGUGCAAUAAUAAUAAAAAUCUAGCUUUGUAACAUGUAGAGAUGAUGAGUAGUAGGUUUCAGACUUUCAGGAUAUAUAUCACACUCGUUUUCAUCCUAAAAUAAUUCAAGAGGGCUUGAAAUGCUUUUUAGGGAAACUUUUUUUUAUGACGUUUGAGUAUUAUGACUCACGACAUUCUUAUAAGUAAAUUAAUUGUGAAAAUCAUUCAAAGCUCCCUUCUAAAGAAAUAUUAGACUACCAUUAAAGGUCUUUAUCAAAACUUAGACUGAGAGCACCAUCCUGGACCAAAAAUAGAAUUAUGCUAGUAGAAUAUCUGUACACAGUACACUGCUAAAUGUUCAAUGUAAAUUCGGAAGAAGAAAAAAUUAGCAACAUCGUACAUUUAGAAUGUUCUUAAAUUAUGACCGAGUAUUAACUAGAUAAAUCACUGAAAGUAACAUGUAAGGCGUAAGCCAUGUAUGGAAUUUAAACCAACAAGUAUUGAUUGAAUAUAUUUGGACGAAAUUUAUAAUUUAAUAAUUUUUUUAAUGUAUAAACCACCGAAAGUGCUAUGUAAGCCACGUAUGGAACUUGUUUUAUUUUAUUAUUUUUUUCAAGCCUCAACUAGUGAGACAACUUUAUUGAAGAUAAAUAAUAAUAUACGCGUACUCAAGGGACAUAGAUGAGAUAAAUUUAUUGAAAAUAAACAAUAAUAAACUCGUGCUCAAUGGGACAUAGUGAGCCCUAUCCCAGAAAAGAUAGAUCGCAAAAUAUUAAAAAGAAAAAAAGGUAGAAAGAACAAUUUUAAGAGAAGCAAUAACAGGAAAAUCUAUUAGCAUCAUCAGAAAAAAACCUAGACAUCUCAUUAGGUGGAUUAAAGUGACGUAUGGAAUUAACACCAUGUAUUUAAUGAAUAUAUUUUGAUGAAAUUUAGAGUGAAGUAUUUUUGUUUAUGUAUUGAGCGUCCUGUAGAUUGAUAAUAUCUGGAUGGAAAAUUGUUGUUCUUGUUGUAGUUGUUGUUGUUGUUGGCAUUUUUUUUUUGUUUGUUACGGCUGAUAAUCCUAGGAAUACGGUAAAUGCAGGUUGCAUUGGGAGAGAAAACAAAAGGAGGUGAGAGAGAAAGUGGGGAAAGUAGUAAAGUUGUAAUUAGAGAGGCUAAAGAAAAACAGAGCGGCGAAGAGGGCAGAGCAUGGAAUGCAGAUGUCGUCUGGUUGUAUUCCCGGAUCCAUCAUAUCAAUCAAGUUACUGCUGAGAUUCUUGAACACAUCACGGUGAUGAAGUGUCAUUAAAAAGAUUUAUGAAACGUGUGUACUCGUAGUGACAAUGUAUUGAUGGAUGUAUUGUCUUAUUGAAUGAUGCAGCAGGAUUUAAGGAUGUGUAAGAAAAUGAGUGUGUCGUCAACAGGCAAGACUCCAAUGAAGGAGGCUGCGGAGAUGCUGGUGGGCUUGGCCAACAGUCCACCCAUAGAGGAGACAAGGCCAUGUACUCAUUUUACCGGUUUCAGGGUUGGGCCAUUUGUGCUGACGCAACCUGUGUCUGAUGUCGAGAUGAAGUUGAUUGAAUACAUGAUGAAUGAAGAUCUGGACCAAGGGUAAGGAAAAUGAAAAAAAAAGCAAAAAAAAGUAUGAGUUACUUGGAUGCUUUUGUUGAUAAUUUAUUUUGGUUUGUUAAUCUGUGGCGGGUGUUUUUAUUGUUUAACGUGUUGUUUAUAAUUUGUUAUGUAUAGGGAAAUUAUCGUGCAAACAAAAAUGAAUUGGUUGAGUAGGAUAGAAAUGUUGUCGCUCUAUCCAAAAAGAUGGAUACAUGGCGCGGUGAGUGAGCGUAUCGAGUAUAUUAAUUUUUGUGCAUGGUGUCCAAAGGUUCCAUGAUAUGUUAUUUGAAUCAGCUAGUGCUCUCAUUGUGCUGAAAUUCAUGGUUGCAUUUGCAGAUAAUUUCGGUGGUGGCUGAGACUCUUUCGAAUAAUGAAAUGAGCAAAGGGGAUAAAAUGAAGCACAACUGGUUCCUUCCAACCUAUUUUGCUGUAUGCAGUAGUCGUUUUGAUUUGAUUUGGAAAUACUGUGUUAUAAUUCAUUGUUGGCUCAUUUCAUCUGACCUUAUUUGUGCAUUGGACUCAGCAAAAGGUUCUGCAUGAAAAAUGUGAUAUCGAGAGCCUAGACCGAAUGAGGGACUUGUUUAAGCAUAACCUGGCAUUUUGUGAGAAGGUAUAUGUUGUGAUAAGUGCAACAUCUUGUGACGAGCAAGUUAAAAUAAUUUUAUGUCGACGAAAAUAUGAGCGUUGAUUGAUUUUUAUGCGCAGAUUUUUGUUCCAAUAAAUCAUGGGGCAUCGCAUUGGUAUGUUGUCGUUUUGGAUAUACCAGGCAGUUCUGUUUUGAUAUGGGAUCCGCUGCCAAGUGACAUGAGAAAAAGCGCUUUGGUAGGAGAUGCGAAAAAAAUCGUGAGUAAAAUUGAUCCUAGAUUUGUAAUGUAUAAAUUGUUAAAAUUCAAGAGGUUUCUUAACUGAUAGUGUUUUGCGUGAAAUUAUGAUGUUGCAGUUGAGGGCGCUUGAUGAGCUUUUGAUGGUUGAUAUCAGACCUGCUUCCGGUUUCGGAGGUCUCUAUUUUGAGAGUUUUCGUGUGAUGCAAGGUACUACAGGGCUUUCGAGACAACCAAAUGGAUAUGAUUGUGGCCUUCAUGUCAUUCGGUUUAUGGAGUGCCACGGCAAUGUACGAGAGCUAGACUUCAAGGUGAGUGGCCAAACGAUGUCGUUAAGUCAGUUGUAUUAAUUAUUGCAAAGGAGGUUAUUGUAUAAUAUUUUGCUUACAAAGGAAAGAAUUAAUUUUGUAAAUUUACAGCAUGAUUCGGAUGAAGCUAGGAAAAACCUGGCGAUUCAGUUGGUGACUGCCGAGGGCAACAUGUUAAAGGUCAAUGUGAUGCAAAGUGCUUCGCAGUUUUCAUUCGCGGAAUGAGGCCUAAAAGACUAGAAGUACUAGAAGGUCGAGGUAGGGUUUGAGUGUGUAUGAGAAACCUUAGCCUAGUGUACAAUGUUUUGUGCCACCUUUUGCAAUAUUUUUUGUAUCAUGGAUGCAUCUGGAUCACAUUAAUCUAGCUUUCAAAGCUUGCACUGACUAUCGAUGCCAUAAUUAAAUCUAAUUGAAAGAGAUAAAGGGCCUCUUUUUGUUUUUCUUCUCAUUGUCUAUGCUUACACAAAUCAACUAAACAUGGUAUUCUUAGAAUUGUGUGGUUUUGAUUUUGUUUGCUGUAAUACAACUAAUUAGAUUGCUGCAGCCUAUAUUGUUUGCCAAUUUGAGCAGCUUUUUUUAUUUAUCCCCAACAACUUUUGUUUUUUCCCCCCAAAAGACCCAAAAAUGACUUCUAAAUAUACAAUCUAUAUAACAGUGAACCAACGUUGGAUAAAUUAAUAAAUUUACUAAAACAAUAAAACUUUUGUCCUAACUCGGGCCAGUAAGCUAAAUUACAAAUAAUGUUGUAAUUUUUUCCCCCACAACUACUAUAUGAAAUAAUGAAAUUGCUAGUUUUUUCCUCACUAAAAUUAAUAUAUAUUAUUUACUCUCUAUUGUUUUCAUAAUAUCAAAAAUCUUUUUGUCACAAAAAAAAUUAAAAAAAAAGAGAGAGAUAAAUAGAUCAUUUGCUCGAUAUUCUAUCUUAAGAAUAUAAAAUAUAAUUUAUUACAAAAAAAUUGUUUAAAAUAACAACAAAUAUAAGAAAAUAUUAAUUUUUUUAUUCACAUAGAAAACCAUAGCUAUUAUUUUUAUUUAAAUUUUUAUUUGAAGGAAAUUGGACUCGAGUUUAAGAAUCUGUAGACAGAGAAGAAGUGCAAACACAUCAACAACCAAAAGUCAAUGAGCAACACUUGUCAAGUUCUAUUUGGUAUUGCGACGCUGUAACUUUUAAGUCACGGCUGUUGUGACAAAAAAAGCCGUAAUAUGAAACAUAAAUUGAUAGUGUGUAAUAAAUAUAGCUUUUAAAUAAUAAUUUUGAUAAAAAUAAGAAAGACAUUAUAGGUUUUUUAUUAUAUAUGUGUGGGACCAAUCAACUUAACUUCCGCAGGCAGCAAAUGUUUACCAAAUACUUUAGUGUUUAUAACUUUUAAAUUACAAUUACCCAAUCUUAAUACCAAAUAGAACCUUAUUGCAAGAAGCUAAAGUUUAUAUUGAGGUAUGUACCAAAGCAAUUUGCAUAAAAUGGCAGCCAACCUGAUGGUGGAACAAAGAGCGGUUGUGCGCUCCCACGGAUUUGGUAAACUCUUUGAGCAGAAUUGUGGUUUGAUGAUAAGAGGAACUAUGUGAUUGGCUAGUAGAUAGGUUUGAUACCACAAAGUCGACUUUAUCUGUUCAUGGAAGAGAGUUGGAGUGUUUUGAAAAAUUUUAAUAUACUUGUAAGCGCACGAAUUUAGAAAUAAAAUAGUGGUAACGAGGUCAAACCCACAGGAAUUGUUAUAAAUUAUAAAGUCUAAUUUAACUGUAAAAUUAAUAUUAAUCCUAACCUAGUUGAGCAAAUUGAGUUUUUAAGGGAAAUAAAACUAAUUAAAAUAAGAAAACAAUUAAAGCAAAGGAAAUUCAAUAAGACAAAAAUUACCAAUGUUUCAGAAUCCACCACUAUUCAACUGGUAAUUAUCUAAUUAUUAAUUAAUUCCCAAUUUUAGAGUGACAACUCGAAAUCAAUCUAUGUCAUCUCAUAAAUAUAAUAAUUAAGCCCAAAUAAAAUUAAUCUUGUGUAGGUUCUUUUUCUGUUUAAUAGUAUGACAUCUAAGCAUUCCAUAUAAACAUAUUGAAUAACAAAGAAUCAAAAUUUUCCUAAGCACUCUGUAUAAAUAAUUUAAUGAAAGACACAGAAUCAAAGAUAAUCAUAUAUAAACUUUAUAGAUCCAAGCAUAAAUUUAGUCAAAUAUUAAUCAUAACAAUCAAUAAUGCAUGACAAAAUUGGUGAAAAUAAUUUAAUAACAUCUAACUAAUCAUGUGAAAUAAGAAGCAUAAACAUUAAAGCACACAUGUAGGGAAUUAAUUAAAUAAAAAUGUAAUUAUUUCAUUGAAUAGGAGUUCAUCCUUAACCUUAAUAUAAGAAAAUUAGUUAGAUAUACUUGAAUUGGGAGCAACAAAUAAAAUAAAACCAGCCAUGAGAAAAUUGAUAUGCUGAUGCUCCUUUUCUGCUCUCUAUCUUGUGGCUGCCUCUCUCUCAAAAGCCUAAGACAGCUUUUAUAGUCUUCAAAAUGGACCCAUCUUUUUAAUUCUAAAGCCAAAAACUUGACCUUUAAUUUGUUUUGCUCUCACGCGUGCCCAGCACUUACAUGAGGAUUCCUUUUUUUAAUGCUAUGCACAUGCUAACAAUAAUGGCAAUUGCUUCUCACGUGAUCUCUUCUCUUCUUUAAUUAAAUCUUGAUAAAUUAAUUCUUUUAAUUCUUUGUCCUUCAAUUGAUUCUGAAUUUAAUCUCCCUUGCUUCCUAAAUUGAGUUUCUUCAUGCCUUUUUAUCCAUAAUCUUCAAUUAAUUCCCUAUUCAAUAAAAUAAUUCAAUUAAUUAAAAAUAAAAAAUAAAAAUAACUAACAAUUAUAUAAUUAAGGAUAAAAUAUGUAUAUAUUAUAUGCUCAUCAUGGAGCUUAGUGCACAAAAUUUUGGGUAUAUAAUGGCAAUUUCAACGGUGGAAUGAGUGUGCAAUUAUUUGGGCAACCUUUUGCUUUGGUAGGCUUAUGCUAACGAGAUACAAGCAAGAGAAACUAGAAUAUGUAGGUGGGUGCUUGCAACAUUUGCAGGAAGGUUCUAAUGAAUGAGCUAGCCUUGUCUCUCUAAUGAAAUCCUUUAUCCUGAUUAGUAAGAAAACUUAUUGUAUAAUAUUGUUGUGGGUUGAAAUUUGUGGGAUGCUAUUCAACUAUGCCUAUGUUUGUUUCUUAAGAACUUUUAUAAUGUGGGUCAAUAAUACUUAACGGCAUAGUAAUAUAAUGAUUAAUAUAUACGCAUGCAGAUCUUAUACAUCAAUUCUGUAGCGCAUUGGAAAAUACAAAAAGAUCCAUCGAUGUGUCCUGUUGUUCUUUGGAAUGCGAACGAUAUUAAGAAGUUUGUGAAAUGGUUGGAGGAGAAGGCAUUGGAACGAACACGAUAUGAGGAUUGUAGAUGGCUUAACAAAGGGGCACUUGGGCAGGGUAUUAAAAAUUCAAUGAUGUUAGGAUCCUACCAUUAACCAUUUGCGUUCCAAUUUGAUUCCCAAUGUCAUAUGUCAAUUAUUUAUUAGAUGAUAAAUUUCAUAACUUGUAAAAUUACUUAAUCACCAUCUAAUGGAUGAAUACCACAUCAAUUGGAACUCAAAUUGAGACCUAAAUAUUCGGAUGCCUAACAUUACUCUUAAAAAUUUAUUUUGUAAGAGUGGCAUCUUAAUCAUUUUAAAUGUGUUAAAUCUCUAAGUUUCUAAAAUACCAGUGUUUGGCUAUCUUCCCUUAUUACCCAAAAAUAAAUAAAAAUAAGAGUUUAUCAUUUAUUUAAGUGAGAUUGUAAUUUCCCCCGGUUGAAAUCAGUAUUUACCAUUCACCUUUUUCUUUUUUGUUUUCAUAAUAUCCAAAAAUCCUGUAGCACCAAAAAGUUUAAAGGAAAACAAGUGUAAAUGGUUCAUUUGCUUGAUAAUUUAUCUUGAAAAUAUAAAAUGUAUAUUUAUUAUAAGAAAAAUAUUUAAAAAUAACAAAAAUUACAAGAAAAAAUAUCUUAUUAUUAAUUUUUUUAUUCAUUUGACACAUAUAUUUCUUAUUUUUAGUACUUCAAAUUUUUUAUUUUAAUUUUUAUUUACAUAUUUAUUUAAUUUAUAAUAAAUAUGAAUAAAAGUGUGUUUCAAAAUGAGAGUAAUAAUGUAAUUAGAUUACUUUGCAAUGCGAGUUAUUGGCUAUUAUAAAAAAUAAUAAAAGUGUUACUAGUAUAUAUUGAUUUCAGUAGGGGAAAGCUGACAACCUCCCUUCACUUAAAGUAGUUUUCCUCAUUUCUCUCAUUUGUUAGUUAAUUUUUUUUUUCAAAUUAGUAAUUCUUUCACUACCCUUGUUUUGCUUUGCUUUGUACUAUCUUAUUGAAUUUGGGGUGCAUUCGUCAGCUUGUAUUACAUUGUAUUAUAUUGGAUUAAAAUAUUGUUCUUACACAAAUCCAUGUUAAGCUAUAAUUUUUUUAUUGCAUUGCACUAUAUUGAAAAGGUGAGCAAUACAAUGAUGCUGCGUUUACUUUUUGGAUUGGAGUGGGAAUCCUGAGGAGUGGGAAUCCUUGGAUUAGAAGUGUGGAGUGGGAGUGGGAGUAGGGUGUUUACUUAGACUAAAUGAAAGUAUGGAUUGUCAAUCAGAAUCUCAAUUAUUUGUUUACUUUGUCUUGGAUUGGGAGUAAAUUAUUUUAAAUUACAAUUUUAUCCUUAUGUACAGAAUUAUAAUUUGUAAUUAAAAAAUUAAUAAAAAAUAUAUUUGGAAAAUAAAAUAAAUAUUUUAUUAUAUUUAUAAAUUAAUAAUAAUUACUAAUAUUCUUAAUUAUGUAAAUCAUAAUUUUUUAUUAAUUUUAAUUUAAAUUAUGUGAAUAAAAAUUAUUAAUAAUAGCAACACAAAUGAAAUAUUAUUAUUGAUAAUAUAGUACAAAAUUAAUAUUUUUUUAGAAUAAAAUAUUUAUUAUUAUUAAUUAAAUAAUUAAUUAAUAUUUAUUAAAAUUAAUGUUUAAUAUUAUUAAUUUAAAUAUAAUAUUUAUUUAUUUUUAUUUUAUUAAAUUUAAUAAAAUAAAUAUGAUAUAAUUAUUAUUUUUAAUAAAUAUGAUAUUAUUUAUUUUAUUAAAUAUGAUAUUAUUUAUUUUAUUAAAUAUUAUUUAUUUAUUUUAUUAAAUAUUAUUUAUUUAUUUUAUUAAAUAUUAUUUAUUUAUUUUAUUAAAUAUUAUUUAUUUAUUUUAUUAAAUAUUAUUUAUUUAUUUUAUUAAAUAUUAUAAGGAUAAAAUGGGAAGAGGGGGGAGUGGAUUCCCACUCCCACCUCCCCCCAUGGGAGUGGGAAUCCCACUCCCCACUCCAAAAUUGAGUGGGACCCACGGAUUCCCACUCCCACUCCCCCCUUUUUUAAGGUAAGUGAACACUGGAGUGGGAGGAAUCCACACUCCACACUCCCACUCCAGCAAGUAAACACUACCUGAAAAGAGUAUAAAAUAAUCCAAUGGGCGAGUAAGGCUUAGGCUCUAUUGUAUUAUAAUACUAUUCAUAUUUUAAAUUUAACCAUUUUACUUUUAUUAUUCAAUAAUUUAUAAUAAAUUUAAAUUUUAUUAAAUGCCAAUUUAUAUUUAUAUUAAAUAAAAUUUAAUUUAAAUAAUAAUAUAAGAUAUAAAAUAUCAAUAAACCAAAAUAUUUAACAAAUAAAUGAUAAUACAUUAUUUUACUUUUAGUACAUAAAAUCAUUUUAAUUAUUUUAAUUUAAAUGUGUGAAAAGUACUUUAAUUAUUUAAUCAUCUAUUAUUUACUAAAAUUUAAAUUUUAAAAAAUUUAAAUUAAUAAUUAUAUUCGACAGUAAUAUAUAAAAAAUAGUUUAUAAUUAAAUUGAAAUUUUAAUAUAAUAUUAUAUUAUUAUAUUAUAUCAUUUGAUAAUAGUGUAUUAUUAAAUUAUUUUAUGUUAUAAAAAUUAAUGCAUAAAAAUAAUUAUUUAAUAAUUAAUUUCAAAAAUUGAUUAUAUAACAAUAAUUAUUAACAAAUUUAAAUAAUGCUAAUUUACUUUUAAUAUUAAUAUAAAAUAAUAUUACAAAAUAGUAUUAUAUAUAAUACAAUUUAUAGUAUACAAAAUAUUAUAUUGAUUACAACUUAUUGUAAUACUCCAUAAUGCAAUACAACUAAUACAAUGUAAUGCAAUUUAGUGUGCCAAAGGCACCACUCAAGUAUUAUGUACCAGAUUCUAAAGACAUGUUACUUCUUUUAUUUUUUUUCUCUUGAGUGAAUGUUUUGUUUGGUCUUUCAUAUUCACAAAGUGUCUAUUAAUUCUUACUGUUGCUGGAACAUGGCUUACUUUGUCAUAGAAAUCUCUUAAGGAAAGCGUAUUAGUUGCCUAAAAAUAAUUAAACUCUAGUUUUGUAAAAUGUUAGAGAAGGUUGACACCAAGGUCUACUCCAUUGAUUAGUAGGCAGCCUUACUAAGACCUAGCUCUUAGGUUCAAGUGUAAUGUAAUAUGAAUGUAUAUGUGUUUAAUUAAUGAAAAAUGUUAGAGAAGAAAUGAGAUAAAAUAGAAAGUUUCAGGUUUUCAUCCCAAAAUCAUUUAAGAGGAGCUUAAAAUGCUUUUUGGGAAAAUUUUCAUCACAUGUGAAAGGCUCAUGUACCGUAUAUCACUCGCAUGACUUCUGUCUUCUGCUAGAACUAAAGUUCUUAAUGGCUUGCUUAUAAACAUUGAGCAAAUUAAUUCUUAACAAUCAUUCAAAGCUUAACACCAUCCCUGGACCAUUGUUGUAGCCUAUAUCAACUUAAUAGAAUUAAGCUAGUAAAAUAUUUGAACUGUGAGUACUCAGAAAAUUAGCAACAAUGUACAAAUUUAGAAAAUCAUAACUUACGUUCGAGUAUUAACUAUAUAAUGUCUGGAUGGAAGUCUAACUAUACAUAAAUUGUUGGUGAAUUUUUUUUUUCUUGUUAUAGUUGAUGAUCCUUAGGAAUAUGGUUAAUGCAGGUUGCAUUGCAUGAGGAGAGAAGAGGACGUCAAACAGAAUGUGGGGAGAGUAGUAAAGUUGUAACUGGAGAGGGUAAAGAGGAUAGGAGGUCAUCCAUUUGGCUGCUUUUCAAUGGUCUACUCCUAAAUUACUUAAAUAUCUGCUCAUCUCAAUAAUGUAUGUAGUAUCCGAUUGCAUACAAACUUGAGCAUAUAUUAGACUUUCUAUUGCUGAUGCAUAAGGAAUUUUUUGCAUUUCCUUCUCCUCAAAAUUAUUCUUAGGGCACUGAUUGAGACUAAACUUGUCUUUCAUAGCCACAAAUGUAUUACCUAGUCUGCGAUCUUACAUGCCUUAUCUCCUAAGAACUGUUUUGAAAUAGCUCUUUUAUGAUAGUCCUAGAAUACCCCGAGAAUGACCUUUGUGUAUCUAUAUGCCUAAUACAAAAGAGUCAUCAUCAAGACCUUUCAUCUCAAAAUUCUUAGUUAGAAGUCUUUUGUUGUCAUGCAAUAAGCUUAUAUCUUGCUAGCAAGCAAAAUAUCAUCAAUAAAACUACAAAAAUAUACUAGCUCCGAACAGAACUUAUGGCAUUUGCAAUCAUCAUCCAAAUUCAUUUGAAAAUUGAAUGAGAUGAUCACUUGAUGGAACUUUAAAUACAAUUAUUGAGAUGCUUACUUGAGCCUAUAGAUGGAAUUCUUAAGUUUACAAGCCAUAAUCUUUGGAUAUCUUGACAUAAAGACUUCUGCCUACACCAUAUAGAUUGUCUUAUCAAUGGUACCAUUGAGAAACGCUGUCUUGACAUCCAUCUGUUAUAACUUAAGAGAAAGAGUCUUUCGAAGAAAUCUAAGAGAGAGUCUUUUAAUCAUUGAUGCCUCUUUGCAAUAAGACACACCUUGUACCUUUCCUCUUUGCUUUUCGAAUCCCUCUUGGUUUUAAAUAUCCAUUUGCAAUUAAUAAGUUUUGCACAUUUUGGUAUAGGACAAUAUCUCAUACGUCAUUGUUCUUCAUGAACAUCAUCUCCUCAUUCAUGGCAUUAAUCCACUUUUAAGAGUUAGACUUUGCAUGACUUGAUGGAAGUUGAUUGGAUCAUCUUCCAUCACUCCAAUUGAAACAACCCGCCCUGAACCCCCACGACGAGUCUAUUUAGUCUCAUCAAAACUAAGUUGAUAAUAAUUUAAUUAGUAAGGAUUCUGGCGAAAAUUCGGUAAAGUUUCUUUUAUAAAUAUAACACUGCCACCUCGCAAAUAUGUAAAACAAACAUUUCCAAAAUAAUUCAAAAUUACAGCCAACUCCAAUAAUCACCAUUCUCAACCAAAAUAUUGAGUUUUACCCAAAAUAUCUCCAGAAUAUCAAAAGUUUAUAUUAUAACUAAUAUUAACAUAUAUUGGUUUAUUUUUAAUCUGAAAUGAAUAAUACAAAAAAAUUAUAUAAUAAAAAAAAGAUAUGAUCAAAAUGCCCUAACAAAAAUCAUCUAUAUCUUCUAACACCAUCACGUGGCCAAAAUUUAAAAUAUCUACAGUCAUUGGGUCGAUUUGAUGUACCCGCAGGGGGGCGGGGGGAUGGGGAAAAUAAUAAAACGGAAUGAGUAUAAAACUCAGUAAGCUCAGUGAGUGGUUAGUAGUUUUUGAAAAUAAACUUACUUUAAAAUAAUUAUAUCAUUUCAAUAAAUAACUUUACCAAAAUACCACAAGAAAACUUAAAUAAACUCAUUUAAUUAUAAAUCAUGCACUGACAAAAAUAUAAGAUAUAAUACCAUAUAAAAUCAAAGAAAUUACAAACACACUGUAAUCUCAAAUACUGGAUUCUGAAAUUGUCUCUAAACAAGUACCUAGAGGAAUAAUCUCGUCAUACCCAGACCUCAACAGACGGGCAAUGACAUACUAUCAAGAUACCAUUAUGCCCCAGAGCUACACGGAUAGAUAGGAAAAUGCCAUCUUAUAUCUCAUCAUAUCUGUACAUGCAUAAUCUAGUCCCUAAAGGACAAAAACGCCCAAGUUUACGGCCCAAAACCUCUGUGUGUACUAGACGAGCCCCAAAGGCAUGUAUCUCAUAUAUAUCUAUAUCACUGUUAUCAUUAUACCACAUGCAUAUGCCCCCAAAAGGCAGAAGCGCCGAAACACAUGGCCCAAAGUCUCAAUGAGUGUUCAGAUAGGCCCCAAAGGCCUCAUCAUAUAUGUAUCACUAUAGCUAGCGAAUGAUAUUGUCUAAUGAUUUUGCAAAUAACCUUUUAUACACAUAUACAUGAAUGUAUAAUCACAUUGUAAAUCUCAUUUCUAUCCACUUUAUUUUUUUUUAAACUAUUGUCAUGCAUUUUCUCAAAAUCGAUAAUAAAUUCAUUAAUCAUACGUGUUUUUAAUAAUAAAUAUCAAUAUGUAGAUAAAAAUUCAUUUUCGAGAAAAUCAUUAAAUCAGAGCAUUAAAUAUUUAUUUAUCAAACAUGUAAUACUGUAUCAUAAAAUCAUAAUAUAUUAUGAAAAUAUGUUUCGUAUAGUCCAUUCACAGUGACGAUGUUCAUACUCGAUUAACGUUCGCGCCCGCGGACUGGUUCUCACUCCCGAAUCUUCCUAAAUCAAGGAAAUGACAUAAUUAUUUUUCCAAAUCUGAACUAGGACUAAAUUUAUGCAAUAAACUUGAAACGAACAUUUAUCCAUAAUUUACAACUCCCGUGUCAAUAAAAUUAUUAAAAUACCCUCGAAUUCGUAAAUCAUUAAAAUACUCCUAAAUCGUACAUUACCAAAUUACCCUCAUAAUCAUAAUGACCAACCUAUCCUCAAUUUAAAAAAUUACUAAAAUAUCUAUAGGGUCAAAAAUUACAAAAUUACCCUCAAAAUGUGAAAUUACCGAAUUGUCCUCGCCGGUUAACGGUGACCGGAAAGCUCGGGUUAGACACCUCUAGCAGAGUUGAGUUCAAUGGUUGUGGUAUCACACCCUUCUUAAAGGAACCGUACGUAAGACUCUCGCGUUAUACGGCUCCAUGCCAGAAUUAGGACUUCCCCUUUCCUUUGACCAAUGGGUACUUGCGGUUAGCUCUCACGCGUGGCGACAGUGCCGCAAUCUAGCUUGAAAUCCGUGAGCACCUCAACAAUUGGCCGGCGUUGAAUUGGUGACUUCUGGUGGCUGUGGAUGGUCGGAAAUGGAAGGUGGUGAUCUGAGGAACCAAAACCCAGCCGGUGGUGUGACUUAAUUUCGAUAGAAUCCAUGGCGGUGGUGAUGGGUUUGGCUGCGAAUUUUCGUGCUACAAACAAUGGUGUUCUGGUCGAUUUUUGGCAACAGUGAUGGCAUGUGAGUAAUGGCUGGCUCAAGAGCUUUCGUUUGCUACCUUCCAUGGUUGGUGAGGUGACCGGUAAUCAGAGAUAUGGUCGGGUUAGGUUCGUGGGUUUGGGUCGGUUUGAUAGCUUCGCCCCCCCCCCCUCUCACGUGUGAAUAUGUUUCCCCUUAAAACAAAUUUCUAGCUUCUUUUAUUUUUUAUGUAAUCGCCUUUCUCUCUCUCUCUCUCUUUUUUCACAUAUGUUACACUAAUAUCCAUCUUAUGUUUUUAGAGAAAUACAAUAUAGCUAGCUGGCAUUGCUCUUCUUCUUUCUCUAGUAGAUCUCCUUAAUGACAUAGGCUCUUGUGGUGGUAGAGUUUGUUCCUCUAGAACAAUUUCUUAUAUAGGGCUUCUCUAACAUUGUCUUGAUCUUUUGUGUCUCGAACAAAAUUAAGGAUGAGACUCUAGUUAAUACUUAAUACCAAUAACACAAGGGGAAUAUCAUUAAUGUGCAUGCAUGUCUGCUCUGUAUUAUAUAAAACUUAUAAGGUAUUUUAUCUACUAUGGUCAAUAUCAUUAUGACCAAUAACUGGCUAGUUUUAUUUUAUAUAUUUUUUUAACAUUAUACAAUUAGAAAUCUAUUGGGACUAACCUAAUUUAGUGCAUGUUUGGGAUAGCUUUAAAUUAUUAAACAUAUAAGUGAUUAGUUAACAAUAUAGCAGUCAAAAAGUGUUUCGUAAAUUCACUUUAAAAGUGAUUUUAAAACAAUCUGAUUCUCAAUUAAUUAGAUCUUAUAUUGAUUUGUAAAAGCAACUUAGAGUAGCUUUUCCAAACAUGAUUAUUUCAAAAUCAAUUUUUUAAGGUACAAUAUCGUAAUUAUCCUUCACAACAUUUGUUUAUCAAAAAUACCCUUACACAAUAAUUAAUUAAUAUUUAAAUCUUAUAAAUUAAAUUUAAAAUAAAAAAUAACUUCGGGCAUAUAGUCCCAGCAGUUUGUCAUCAGCGAGAUUUUUCCGGUGCUGGUGAAAGAGAAAGUUGUCCUUCGAUGAUAAAUCGGCAGGGAAACUUUUCCGUCAUUGUCGACGACACUGGCACUGUUUCCGCGAACGAAAUUUCAACCUCCAUUCAUUUAUUUCUUGUUAUUAGGUAUUUUUUUUAUUACUUAGCAUUUAAUAUUGACUAAUGAUUUUUUUGGAAAGAUAACAUAAAGUUGAAAGUUCCUAUUAAUUAACUGACAUUUACUGUUAAUAUUUAUAGAAAAUAUAAAUAGAAAGCUGAGAAAAAUUAAAAUGAUUUGUUUAUUAAAUAAUAUGCUUUAAAAUUAAUUUUAUUUGGUUUGUAUAUAACUAAAAUAUAAUUAAUGUCUAUUUUGGUUAUUUCAACAUUUUUUUUAUUAAUUUACUAAACAUGCAAGCUAAAUCAUAUGAUAAGUAAUUAUAUUAUAAUCUAAACUUACCAAAUAUGAAACUAAAUUAUUUAUAAAUCUGAUUGUUUCAAAAUUUAUCUUAAAAUAGAUUGUUUUGGGAAGCUAAAGCAAUCCCAAAUAUAUCCUAAAUUUUAUUAUACAAUACAGAUAUUGAGAAUCUAUAUUUCUAUCUCUACUAAUAUUCAAGGAAGGGACACAUGCAUUCUCUAAGAAAAAAUCUACCCCACUUAAUUAUGGGGAAGAUAUUAUUAUUUUUUGGCACUUAUUCAUUUGAAGUGCGAUCCGAUAAGAUUGCUUAAUUUAUUGAUGAAAAGUUGAAAACGUUUGAAAUGAACAAGGCAUUGAAAUGAACAGGCAUCUUUUCUUAUUUAAAAAUAGGGUAAAGACAACAUUAUGUUUUGACACUCCAACAACUUCAGAGCCAUUUGCUAUCUUCUCUUUUGCUAAUCAGUAAAUAUUAUACAAACAAAGGAUAAACAAGAUCUCUUUCCUAUCUUGGUUGAAAGUAACAACGCACAGCGCGCGCUUCCAUUAAAUUGUCAUAUCAACAGAUUCUAGUUUGAGCCCUUCAAGUGAAUGAGAAAGGUUUGAUUUUUCAAAAUUAGGCAAAGCUUAGCUAUAGAUUCAUGCGGAAUUAAGAGUGGCGCAGCAGGAUGUAGACCCAUUGCUCCUUUGAGAAUGGCCUAUAAGCAUAUAAAUUAAUUUUUUUAUGUAUGUUUCAUUUACUUAUCCUUUUUUUCCUAGCCGAAUGUCUAUUUCAUUUUGAGCCGUUUUUAAAAUAUCAUGAUGGUUGGGAAACAAAGAGAGAACCCAUGUGAAUUUUAUUGUUAUGGUGUCUGUUGUAAGUAAGAUAACACCCUGCAAAAUUGGUAGUGUGCAUAUGUUGAGUCUGCUUUUACAAAGACAAACAAAUGAAUUCUGAACCCCGCAAUUGAAUAAAAAUCGAUCGACUGGACUAAAUUGUAUGAUAAAAAUGAAAAUUUCCCUUAUUAACCGAUUGGGAAAAUACAGAAUAAUUAUUAUUAUUGUUUUUUUUUUUUUGAUGAAUGACCUUGACGGUGGAGAGAGCUUCAUUAAUAAAAAUAAAUGGAAUUCUAUUACGCACAAAGGGGCAUAGCGAGCCUUAAGCUUUACUAGUCAUAAAUAUUUAUUAAACCGAUUAGCUACAUGAAUAGAAACAGAAUAAUUAGAUAUUCGCAUCAAUUCACAAGUUGCAGAUUCAGCUGCCCACGUUUGAAAAUCUCAUCCUCAUCAUCAUCAAUAACAUUCGGACACGAGAUGAGUACCAAUUAGUUUAACUAAUAAAAUAGGUUUGGAGUUGGAACCCACUUAAAGAGAUGGUUUACUCUUUCCAUUCUUCCUAUCCACUGAAUCUACAUCCUUUCCUACAGUCAUUCUUAAAACUUCAUCACGUGUGGUGUCUGUAAACCAUCUCUUCAUCUCUACCAACAGCACCGUAUCAGUGGUUUUGUUCUUAUCCGAAGACUUUUUUUUCUUUUGUUUUUUUGAUGAAUGACCAAGAUCCGCCUCUGAUUACAACAGAUUCGGGAAGAGUUAAUAGGAGAAAAAUAUCCAAAAUGAAGAAGAAACUUUUCUCGAGUUUUUGUUCUCAUUUGUUUUCUUGAACUUGUGAUGACAUCAACUAGCGUUGAAUCUGGUACCUGUAACCUGAUCGGCAAGAUCAGAGGUAAGAAGCCUCCACUAGGACGUACAAUAUUGCACUCAAGAAAACUAUUCUGACUUCUGCAAACAAGGAAAGAUAGCUUUAUUGCAUUUUCGGCAUUUUGCGUCUUUGCAAAAUGGUAUUGGAUUCACAGCUUAGUCGUGAUGGAUUCAGAGCUUAGUCGUGAUAAAAGUUCGUUUAAUACUAGAUAUUUAUGACUAAUGAUAAUUCGAACAUUUAUAUUCAACUAGAAAAGGCCUACUGGGUAAAAGAGUAAACAAGCAAAAAACACACCAAUACUUGCCACAAAAGUUUAUUAGAUAUAUUACAUCGAGAAUCAAUUUAGCCGUACAAAGAAGCCGAAAGACGUGGAGAGACAAGUACUUCAAGUGGUGUAGAUUUCUCUAUGGUCAACCCUAAUCUCUCCCCCAUGUCCAAUGGUUCAUUUGAUGGGGUUGCAAUAUCAAAGCCAUGAAGUAAAGAAGCAAGUGUAAAUUGCAUAACUUGGAGGGCGAAUGACACUCCAGGACACAUUCUUCUGCCACUACCAAAAGGCAACAAUUCAAAAUUUUGUCCCCUGACAUCAAUAUCCUUGUGCCUUGUCAAAAAUCUUUCUGGCUGAAACUUACAAGGCUCUUCCCAGACAUGUGGAUCACGUUGAAGCUUCCAAACGUUGAUAAAAAGUUGUGUGCCGCUGGGAACAUUGUAACCACUUACUGUGCACUCUUCCAUAGACUCGUGUGGAAAAAAGAGUGGCGCAGCAGGAUAUAAACGCAUUGCUUCUUUAAGAAUGGCUUGUAAGUAAACUAAAUUUUUUAUAUCUGAUUCAUUCACUUGCCUUUUUGUGCCCACCUGAAUAUCUAGUUCAUUUCGAGCCUUGUUUAGAAUAUCAUGAUGAUUGAGAAGCAGGGAGAUAAUCCAUGUCAAUGUAACAGCUGUGGUGUCUGUUGCCGCUAAGAUGAGAGCCUGCAAAAUUGGUAGUGUAUACAACGUUGUCAUGCUUUCAUAUAUAUGCAUAUUACACUUAUUUACAAUGCAACUUAAUUAAAUUCCAUUAAAGACUCAAUUUUUUUGGGUAUCUUUUGGCUUUUACUGACAGAUCAAAUCCACCAACAUAUUAUCAAAAACUUAUCCUAAAAUGCAGGUCCCAAUUGACUAAGGCAAUAAUGAACAGAUGAUGAUUUCCUUGACUUUUUGGUUCACCAUUUUACCCUAUCGACUGAUUGGGAGACAACAGAAUAAUAAAUAUUCUCAAUUCACAACUUGCAGAUUUAAUUGCUUUCAUUUAGAAAUCUCAUCUUGAAGAAUGAUGUAAACAACUAUCUGAAUGAUUAUAAGUGUAAAAUGGUUUAAAAGCAUAUAAUAUUCAAUUAAGAGAUUGAUACCACUAGUUCUUUUGUUUAGAUCUCUUGAGUGAAAAGAAGAAGUCCGAGCAAAGUCUAAUUUCAUUGAUAAGGAACAACCUUCCUACAACUUAAGACCUGAGUUUGAGCCUCAUUAGUGUGCGGUUAAUAUAAAUAAAAGAAUAAAAUAAAAAAGAAGAGGUCUUGAUUUUUCAAACUCUAGAGGGGAUUGAGUCGCCCAUAAACUAAACCUAAAAGAGAAAUUUCGGUUAAGAGAGGCAUACCAGGCAAAUAGCUUUAUUGAUUUUAUCAACAUCACGACCAUAAUAUUGCUCUGUAUCUCCUAAAAUCGAAAGCAUCGCAUGCAUAAAAUCUUCUUCUUCUUUAUUCAUUUCCUGAGAAUCUCUCUUCCACUUGUGCUCUUCUAACCAUCCUUGAACAACAACGUCUAAUUCUUUGGCAAUCUUCUUCAUUGACCUCUCAUCACCCCCUAUAUCCAACCAUCUCAAAAACGGCAAUGCAUCUGACACCACAAACUUACCACUCAUUUCAAAAAAUCUCGUUAAUAGUUCUUUCCAUUCUUCACUAUCCACUGAAUUGCAUCCCUUUCCUACAAUCAUUCUUAAAACCACAUUACGGAUGCUGUCUGCAAGCCAUCUCUUCAUCUCUACCAACAACAUCUUAUUAGUGUUUUUGUUGUUGUCCCAUAACUGGUAUAACUCCUUCAAACAAGUCUUCACCUCGUACUCUCGUACAUGCUUGAGCUUCUCAAGCCGAUGGUUCGAGAGAAGCUCAAGUGUGGCUAUCUUGCGUGUCUCUCGCCAGUAAGAGCCGUAUGGGCUAAACCCAAACAUGGAAAAAUUGUAGCCUAAAAUCUCCGCGGCUAGAGUUUUUGGACGGCUGGCAAAGACUUUGUCGUGUGUAGUAAGACACUCUUUAGCCAUCUCCCAAUUACUCACAACUAAUGCUCGAUUUAUGCCCAUCUUGAUUGUGAAGAUUGGUCCAUACUUGUCAGCCAUGCAGGCCAACACCCUGUGAGGAGGUUCUGGCCCUCCUAAGAGGUGUAGAUGGCCAAUCACAGGCCAUGCUCCCUCAGCUCCUGGUGCUCCCCUCUUCUUGUUGCUUGUGUAUUUUCUAAGCAAAUUUCGUGAAACUGACAACGAGGUGUAUAGAAUGAUUAAAAAAGUGAUUAAAAUUGCUGCGACAGUACUUGUUUGAGACGAACCGAGAAAGUCCAUGGCUGCUACCACUAAAAUUUCUCGAGUGGUAGCAGGUGUAAAAUUUGAUAGCAGUUGCCUAAUUUCUUUAUAUUGAGUAAGUUUUUUUUUUGUCUUUUUUAGAAUUGAAUUGGUAUAAAUAAUAAGAAAAGUAACGUUGUGCUAUCAAUAAAGGUGGCGAACGGGCCGGGCAGUACGUGGCACCGUAUGUGUCCGUACAGUAUAUCAUAUGUUCAUACAAUAUGGCAUGACACGAGCACGUUUCAACAAGGCACACGACAUGACAUGACACGCAUGUAGUUGGGUAGGGUUCAAAUUUUUAGGUACGUGCACCUUAAAAGCAGGACACGCAAAAAGUUACGUAAUAAGCAUGUUUUAUUGGUGGGCUAGCACGUGGCCCGCGAGCCAUCAACAACAUGUGGGACGAAGUAUAUUAAAGUAAAUUUUUUUAAUAAAAAGUAAAAAUAAAUGUUAUGAUUUUACAAAUACUUUAAAAUUAAUUUUUUAAUAUAUUUUAUUAAAUUAAUUUAAGUCUUAGAUUUAAAAAAAUUCUAAUUGUUUUAUAUUUAUCAUUUAUUAAAUGAAUAAAUAAAUAUCAUAAUUUUAAUAAAUAAAAUUAUAAAUAUCACGAUUUUAUAAAUCAUAUAUCAAAAUUUUAUGACAAUUAAUAUUUCAUUUAUGAAAUCGUAACUUAGUUAUUGGAUAUAUGUUUCAUUUGUGAUUUGUGAAUAAAAUAUUUUUCAUAUUUAUUAACAAAAAAUAAAAUUAUGAAUGAAAUAUUUUAUAUUUUUUUAUUUAUACACAAAUCAUAAAAUAAAAAGUUGUAUUUCAUUCCAUGGAGUUCAAGUCCAAUUAUAAUAUUAAUAGUUCAAAUAAAAUUAGUUGUAAUUUACUUCAGUGCAGUUCAAAUAAUAUUGUUGUAUUAUAAUUGAAUUAGUAAUUGUGAAAUUAAAUAUUUAAAUAUAUAAUUACAAAAUUAUGAUAAACUGAUAAUAAAAUAUUAAUUAUUCUCUUAAUAGUUAAUAAAAAUUAUUAUUAUUAUUGUUGUUAUUAUUAUUAAAUGGGCUGAUGAGUUUGAAAAAUCAUGCUAGGUACAUAUGCUUAAAAAAUCAUGCCAAAUAUGUGGGUUUAAAAAAACACGUGGCACUUGGGCUUGAAGGAAACAAAAAUUUGACAGGCCUUUUUGAGUAUGGCCCAAACAUGGCACGCGUGGACUCGUGAGCCGUACUGAGCUUAACAAAAAAUAAUUGGGUACGGCACGGCAUGACCCACCAACGUACCGCCCUCAAGGUUUUUGUUUAUACCGACACGAGCCUUUGGCCACCUUUAGCUAUCAAGACUUAGAGGCUUUCAGUUGUUUCAAGGUGAAAGAAAAAAAUGUCAACAGAUAAAUUUAAGUUAAAUACAGUUACAAUUCCUUUGAUACUACUAUUACAAUUGGAAAGUGUAAAAAGACAAAAUAGUUGUAAGCUUAUAUACUAAAUUGUCAAAACUGGCAGCUAAAACGUCAUAUUUCAAACUUGGAAAAUUGGCAGCACUAAUGUUACUGGUGAUAGUACUUGUUGAUUAGUUGAGACACACAUAUCUAGGCCCAUUCAAAAGUUAAUCCAAGCCAUAAUGACGAGUAAUGAGGAGCCGACGUAAUGAACGCAAAGAGAAAUGUUAUAGAAUAAAUUAUUGAGGGUAGGCGCUAAGUUAGGCCCUCCCAUUAUUGAGACAUUUGUGAUUGAUGUGAAGAAAAUUAUGAACAUGUCACUCUCCAGUCUCUAUCCGAAUAAUUGAGAGCAACGUACUUGCCAAAUAUUAAUUAUUCGUAUUCAGCACAGUUCAGAUAAUAAUUCUAUAUCCACAUGGUCCCCAUAUUAAGUAAUUUAUUUAGUAUAUAAAGAUUACACGAAAAUUUUAUAAUAACAUGAUUAAAAUUAUAACAUUAAUAUCGUGAUAAAUAUAAAUUUUAUAAAUUAUAUAUAUAAAUAGUUAAAAAGUAGAAUAAAUAAAUAAAUUAAUGUAAGAGUGUUAAAUUGGUGUUUUAGAAUUACAAACAAAACAAACAUUUAUAAAAAUAACAUAAAAUUUGUAAAUUAACAUUAAACUUUAAUUAAACAAAAAAAUAGUUUAUUUAUUUAAUUUAUUAAGCAAAGAAAAAGUUCUCAUCAUUGAAAAUAAAAAAAAUUGAAUUGAAAAUAAUUGGAAUAAAUUUUAUUAAAUUGGUAUAAACAUAAAUUCUAUAUUCAUCCAGUGCAUUUAUAGUUUUUUUUAAAAUUUUUAUCAUAGUAUUUGUUUACUGCACAUAUUAAUUAAGAAAAAUUAAUUUUCUUGAUAUGGAUCAAGCCAAAAAGAAAAAAAGAAGAUAUUAUUAUAUUAUUAGACAUAUAUGUUAUAUCUAUAAAAUUGGACAUAGUUUCCAAUUUUAUACAUAUUUGAUGUAGUUUCAAACUUUUAUUUCUACUUGUAUUUAAUUCAUUAGGGAUGGCUUGAAUAAGGAGUCAUUGGAUGAUAUCAUUUUGUCUCUUGAAACACAUCUCAGUGGAUAUGUACAAGGAGCGAUUCUCCAGUUAUGACCAUUAUUCCAGAAAGAGCAUGCACGAUAUAGUCUUGGGAAUCUGACUAUAAACGACCAUGUUUGCCAAUUUAUAAGAAAACUGGAUGAGAAGCCUAUUCUCGACCCAUAGAGGGCGUUUAAGCCGUUUCUGAACGUAAAACUAGAGGAAAAUGUGAGCCACAGUUACAACUACUUGUACAUAUCGUUUUACUUCACUGUUAUUUUAUUUUACUGUUGUUUUAUCAUUUGCAUUAUUGUUUUUAAUAAUUUUAUUUUAUCAUUGUUUUUUUUUCCUUUUACUGUUUCCUUUUUUACUCUCGAGCCAUGUGUUUUACGCGUUAAUUGACACAAACAUGUUACCUUAUACACAUAUGUGACCCACUAUCACCAAGAUUCUUAAAUAUGAUUUGUUUUGCAUUCACAAAUUGUUUUUGAAAACAUCCCAAUGGCAGCUACUCCAAAUAAACAAUUCAAAAACAUUUGUGUGCUUUCUGGAUUUAACUAUGGCAAACAUAAAGAGUUCGUUGAGGCAGCCAUAGAUCUUGGUCGAAGCAUAACAGAGAGAAAAUUACACUUGGUGUAUGGAGGAGGUAAUCGAGGGUUAUCAAAAUUGGUCUUAGAAGCUGCUUUUGUCAGAGGAAGCCAAGUGUUAGGCAUCAUCCCAAGAGCCCUAAAACAUUUGGACAGUUUGUCAGACUCAUCGACUGGAGAAGAGUUAGUCGUCUCAGGUAUGCAAGAAAGAAUAACUGAAAUGCUUAAUCAUACUGAUACUUUUAUUUUCCUUCCAGGAGAUCUUACAACUCUAGAGGCACUUAUCACAUUAGCAUCUUGGGCCCAUCUGCACAUUCACCAGAAACUCAUCUGUUUGUUAAAUGUCAAUAACUUUUAUGAUGGCUUUAUCGCAUUUCUUAACCAUGCAAUAAAAAACUAUUUCAUUCACUCCACAGCGAAAAAACUUUUUAUUUGUGCUCACACUGCUAAUGACCUACUUGAUCUAUUACAAGCUUAUAGACCAGAGCCAGACCCCAGGACCUUUGUGUUGGAGUCUCCAAAUAAUGGUGGUAACAGUAGCUGCAGUAAGAAGUACAAAUUAGAUUUAACUCUCCGCUUGUAAAUAUUUUCUUCUGUGUUGCACCACCCAGGUGAUGUCUUCUAAACUCCACUUCUUUCCUAUAAAAUAUUGAGGACGACAAUGUUUCAUUCUGGUUGGGGGGAGGGAAUAAUUGACAAUUGUGGAAUCUUAUGUAAGUUUUUACUAAUUUUUGUUGUAGAGACUAACCGUGGCUAACUUUUUGUGUUGAAGAUGGCUGAAUAUGGAGUGUAGUUACUCUAGAAACGCAUCUUUUUCCUUUUAAAAAAAUCAAACAAAAAAAUUCCAGACGUUUUCUUUUUUUUUUUAUUAAGUUUUGACAAUCAUUUUUUUUAACUUCUUCUUUCUAAUUUCUCCUUUACAAAUAUACACUUUCAAAUUUUUGAGUCGAAGAUGGCUGAAUAUAGAGUGUAGUGCCUCUAGAAAUGCAUCUUCUUAGUUUAAAAAAAAAACCCAUUUUCUUUUUCUAUCAUUUUAAGUUUAACUUUGCUAAUUAGCUUUUCUACAUCAUUUUCACCUUUCUGCAUGCAUAUUUUCUUUUCAUGUUUAGAAUAGGUUGGGGGGUAGAUUGUCGUUUAAAAAAAAAGUAGUGUGAUAUUUUUUAACAUUGGAUAAUAUGAUGAUUUUUAAAUUUUAGUAUUCAUAUUAUCUUUGGUCUUAAGUAAUGUUACGCUAUGUUUGCUACUCCACAUGUUGAUGUCGGAGACAAAUAUGAGUUGCUUGAAGGAAUGCACAUGUUGAUGUCGGAGACAAAUACGAGUUGCUUGAAGGAAUGCACAUGUCAUAAUAAAUACCAAGUAAGUUUUUAAGCAUGUCAUUUUUCUUGGAUAGUAACCCAUUUUUCUUCUUCAUCAUACAAUUUAGCAGUUUAUUAUUUUAUAUACGAUCUCUACAUUUCUUUUGAGUCAACCCUCUAAAAAUAAAAUUUGUAAGAUAAAAAAUAAAAAAAAAAGAAGAAAAAAAUGUGUGUUACUACAUCUGGAGGUCCAUCUAACUAGUAGAUAUGGAAGAUUAUUUAGAGCCCUAAAAGACGAUGGAAAUGCCAUCUUUAACCCGUUUGAGCCUUUCUAGCCAUCCCUUUUGUGAAAAAUCCAUAGUUAACCAUUUUGAGCCUUUAAAAAAAAAAAUUUCUUUGUCAAAAUUUAUCAUCUUGGCCCACUCCGAUUUGGAGUAAUACUCGAUAUUUUAGAAGUUCCAUAAUCUAUUUAUGUUUGAGAAAAAUAUAAAUAAUUAUUUUAUUCAGUGAAGUUGUGCCAAACAAAAAAAUUGUUGUUUAAAAAAAAGAAAAAAAUAAUAAUAAUAGGUGAAAUCCACCUUGUAAUUUCCAAAAGAUCUAUACUUUUUCUCAAACAUAUAUGUUGUUUUCCUUAUUUCCCCUCCUUUGUUAGCAAUGUCCCUAACCUACGUUACAUCCUAAUAAAAGUCCUUCGUGAUUUUAGGGAGCUAUAGUUUGAAGUAGAAACUAUAUAUAUGGGCUAAAAAGAUGUAGUGGUGCAUAAAAAAAAAAGAAAUAAAUAAAUAAAUUGGGUUGACUAGCAUUAUUAUUAUUUUUUACUUGAGAUCGUAUUAUUUCUAAGCUGAGGGCAUAUUUCUUUCAUCUUGGUGAGAGCAUGUGAUAUUACUUCUUUAUUAUUUUCUCUCAAUUACCAUUCAUUGGAGUAACUAUUUUUAUUGGGUUUAAUUUCCUUGUGAGAGUGUCACUACUUCUAGUGAGAUUUUGGGGUUUGACUUGUCAUUCUUGAAAGUAGCUGUGACAAAGUCUACUAGGCUAAUUCAUGUGGAUGAUUGAUGUGGGUGUGAUGUUUCUUUAGACUGAAAAUAAUGCUUAUACUUUUAUUUGAUUACUAUCAUUAGUCUGAUUGAAUAAACACAAUUAUUUUAAAAAAAAAUUCAUUUUGGUUUUGAAUUUUGUUUUCGUUUUAUUUGCUAGGGACUAGCAAUAAGCUAGUUUGGGGGUGUGUUGAGUGUUAGAAAGUGUAUAUUUAUAAAGGAGAAAAUCGUCAUUUUACAUUUCAUGUUUUACUAACAUUUAUACUUUUAUGUGUUUUAGUCUCUUGUAAUUUAAUUAUGUGUGUUUUAUUUUAAUUAAGUAUUUUAUCUAUUUUAGGGACAUCAUGGUCAUUUUACAAUGAACCAGAGUUCAGACAGCAAAACAGACAUAACUUUUGAACUCAGGACAGUUGAAAACCUUAGGAGGAGUAUAAAAGGAAAAAUGACAAUGUUCACAUGUACGGUAGUGUCUACGUUACUGUUCACGACAUUAUUCACAUAGACUGAUCGAUGACGUGACAUUGACCGAUGAUGUGGCAUUGAUUGAUGAGGUGUCAUGAUUCUAUUGGAAUAAAAUUCUUAUGUAUUGUUGAUCGGUGACGUGGCAACAUGUUAGUGGACCAAAAAUCGCGCGUACGGUACAUACAUAUACAUGGGAUUAUUUACAACCAAACCGCGUCAUUGUUCAAGCCACCUGACUGUUCAAACUGCGUGGUCAAUCCGUGUCACUAUUCAAACCGCGUGGUCAAACCGAGUACUUUUGAUUGAUGACGUGGCGCAAUUCUGAGCGUCCAAAAUGUUUUUAAUCUGAUGGCCAUGAUUUACUCAGUGUAUCUAUAAAAGGGGGUCUUCCCCCACUAAUUUGGCAUCCCUAAAUUCAUGUUUGAGUUCAAUUUUCUAUAAUUCCUUCUCCAUCUUGUAUUUUCUAUGUAUUUUAUUAAAUUCUCAUUUUGCCCCUAGUUUAAUUAUGAGUAGCUAAUUUUCUUUCAAGCUUUAGUUGAAGGUGAAGUCUCAACAUGUGUCAUGAGCUUUAUUUGGUAAAUUUACUUUCUAUUCCCCUCUAAUUAUUGUGGAUGUUUUGAUUUUUCGUUGACAAAUAGUAAUAAUCUUGUCUAGAUACAGCCAUGGUGUCACCGGCUCCCUAGUACAAGGUUAUUAUUAUUUGACACGAUAAGCCUUUAGCACUAUAUUGAUUAGAGUGUGGUUCAUGAGGAGUGGAAUCCCCCUUCAUGAUUUAAUUGGCAUUAAUAAGGAAUAUUUAGCCCAUGGUGCAUAUUGAUGCAGAUCCAGAUACGCAAGUACGUCAUUUCAAUAGAUUUCGCUUCAUUUUAUUCUUGCCAUUUUAGUUCAAAUUUUAGGAUAAUCUAAUUUACUUUCACCACAAAUCCAACCAUCCUCAUAGAAAAUUAACUCUACAUAUAAUUAAAAUCCAUCUUCUCGUAGGAUCGACACUUGUCACCAUUAAUCUAUUUUACAAUAGAUUCGUGCACUUGCGAGUUUAAUAAAAUUUAAACAACAACAACUCUCAUUUUACUUCGUAAGGAUACUCUGUCUUCUCCCUACUCUGUCUUCUCCCUCCCCUGAUAAAGUAAUUGCUUUGCACCACCAAAUUAAUUCUUCAGUGUCCAUAGCUAUGUUGUAGGACUCUUCUUAAUUACUGUUGACUUUAUUUCACCAACUACUUCUCUGACUUUGGACUGAUUUUGAGCUACUGAAAAUAAUAUUGAUAAUAACAAGGAUUAAAGAAAGAAACAAAGAAAAGAUAAGGUGAAUUAGAAAAGGUUUUAAGAGACCCAAUUGGUGGGUAGUAAGAAAGAGUCAUAGACAACUCUAUUUGGCUUUCAAUUUAAGUUUUCAGAGAAAACCGAGAAGGAAGAAAGUGCAUUUCAGUAGUUCUACUUUCCUUGACCUUAGAUUGAUUUCUAAAAGAAACUUAAGAGUAGCUUUUCCAAACCCGAUUAUUUCAAAAUCAAUUUUUAAGGUACAAUAUCGAAAUUGUCCUUCACAAACAUUUGUUUACCAAAAAUACCCUUACACAAUAAUUAAUUAAUAUUUAAAUGUUAUAAAUUAAAUUUUGAAAUAAAAAAUAAUUGCGGGCAUAUAGUGCCAACAAUUUGUCAUCAGCGAGAAAGUUGUCCUUCGAUGGUAAAUCUGGUACCAGUGGACUUGAAGCUUCAUGAUCUACAUGAUGGUAUCGGUCUUUGUAGAGAAAAUAAUCCAGUGGUGGCAUAAAUGCCGCUCAAAUGUGACGACAAUAUAGCACCGUCGUCUAACCGAGGUGAGGUGACAUGAAUUGCCAUCUCCAACAGAUACAACAAUUUUUUAAAUAAUGUUCAUGUUGGCGGUGAAGCAAAAAACACCUGAUUUUAACAGCCAGCUUAUUUAGGAGGCCUUUCCACCACCAGCAAAUUUGUUUAGCCGAUAAUAUGGAUAUGGUUGCUUAGAAUGUGAAAUUUUGAGUCUAACGAUGAAGGGAAACUUUUCCAUUAGGGAUGUUAAAUACAUCCAGAUUCGCAUAUUAAAAAAUGCGGAUCCAGAUAUGGAAAUUUAGGAUCCGGAUGCUAGUGCAUUUGGAAAACUAGAUAUUCGGAUCCGGAUAAAUUUUAUUUUAGAUUAAAAAUUAAAUUAAAAAUAUAUAUUAAAAAUUACAUGAAAAAUUAAAAAAUAAAAGAAAAUUAUCAUUACACCACCUUUCUUUUGUUUUAUAUUUAUCCAACCACUACAAAAUUCUAACAUGUUCUCUACACCACAUUUCUUUUUAAAUUUAUAUCAAUUAGUCAUUUUUGCACUAACCCCAUUAAAUGAUUUAAACGAAAUAACAAUUUUACCCCUAAAUAAUUAAAAGAUAAUUUUAUCUUAUAAAGUUUUGAAAAAUAAAAGAAAUUAUAAUUAUAAAAAUACCCCUAAAUUUAAAAAAAUAAAUCCAAAAUAGAGGUGCUUAGCUGAUUUUUAUUAAAUUUAGAUUUUGCAAAAUUUUAAUCAUUAUUUUUAUUAAAAAUUUAUAAUUUUACAAAAUUUUAAUAAAAAAUAACUGAAUUUAUUUAUUAAAAAUUAUAAUUUUGUAAAAUGUUAUUAAAAUAACUGAAUUUAUUUAUUAAAAAAAUCCCAAAAUUUUAAUAAUUUAAGGGAGUUUUAUUAAAUCCCAAAAUUUUGUAAUUAUUUGAAUAAUUAUAAUUUUUUAAAAAGAAUUUUUAUUAAAAAUAAAAAUUCUAAUUUUUGGAUUUAUUUCUUUAUUAAAUGUAGAUGUAUUUUUAUAAUUAUAAUUUUUUUAUUUUUAAAAUUUUUACAAGAUAAAAUGAUAUCUUAAUUUAUUUAGGGGUCAAAUUAUCAUUUCGUUUAAAUUAUUUAACGGUGUUAGUGCAAAAGUGGGUAAUUGAUACAAAUUUUAAAAGAAAUGUGGUGCAGAGAGCAUGUUAGAAUUUUGUGGUGGUUGGAUGAACAUAAGGCAAACAAAAGGCGGUGCAAUGAUAAUUUUCCAAAAAUAAAUUUUAUUUGUGGAUUUAUGAUGUUGUUCUAUAUUAUUCAUGUUGACUUAUUAAUUGUUGGAUCAUUAUUGAAUUUUAUUUGAUAUUAUUAGGUAAAUUAUUGAAUUUUAUUUUUCAAUUAAAAUUUAAAUUAAAUAUAUAUAUUAAAAAUUAAAAAUUAAAUUUUAUUUGUGGAUUUAUGAUUUUGUUGUAUCUUAUUCAUGUUGAAUUAUUAAUUUUGGAUUAUGAUUGAAUUUUAUAUUGUAUGUUAUUCAUGUUGAAUUAGUAUUUGUUGAAUUAUGAUUGGAUUUUAUUUGAUAUUAUUAGGUAAAUUAUUGAAUUUUUAAAUUAUUUAUUAAAUUAUUAAAUUUUAAUUUUUGCAGAUCUGGAUAUCCGGAAUAUCCGCCCGCAUUCGUUGCAGAUAUUACCUGCAUCCGAUCCACAUCUUUUUUUGCGAAUCCAGAUACAAAUUCGGAUGCAGAUGUACCUACAUCCGGACCCGGAUCCAGAUUUUGCCAACCCUAUUUUCCAUCUUUGUCGAUGACAAUGGCACAGUUUCCAACUAACGAAAUUUCAACCUCCAUUCAUUUAUUUCUUGUUAUUAAGUAUUUUUCUUAUUACUUAACAUUUGAUAUUGACUAAUGAUUUUUUUAGAAAGAUAACAUAAAGUUAAAAGUUCUUAUUAAUGAAUUGGCAUUGACUGUUAAUGAUUAAUAGAAAAUAUAAAUGGAAAGUUGAGAAAAAUUAAAAUUUUUUGUUUAUUAAAUAAUAUGCUUUAAAAUUAAUUUUAUUUGAUUUCUAUAUAGCUAUGGUGGAACGGGUACACCAUACUCCUCUUUUUGUCUUUUUUUUGCUGCCACGAUUGGAUUUGACACAAAAGGAGUUUCAAGGGCAGGGAUGUGUUGUUUGUUUAUUAACAAUGCAAUCCCUAAUAUUUGCUGAAAAAUUAGAAAAGUUAAAGUUCACAAAAUUUUGUGCCAAUAUCUUUUUCUCUCAAAUUCUCUCCGAAUCACUAAUCAUCAUCAUUGUGUUAUAUUACCCACUUUUGCAAGUUAUAAUCAAGAAAUCAAACAUGCCAGAUGCGUCAAAGACAAUGAAAACUAAGACAAACUUUGAAUUUUUGUUAAAACUCUCACUUUUGAUCAUUUGCUAAAAUAUUCUUUUUACUUAAGAAAACAAACUCAUUAACCUAAUAAGAGGAGUUUUACUGAAAAAAAAAAUUAUUAUAAUAAUUAUCCAAUCAUUAGAAAGCCCUAGAGUUAGAUUAUUUAAGGAGAAAAUUGAGAGACACGUGGAGGAGAAGAAGGGAAGAAGACACGUAAUAAAGUAUGAAAAUUUUCAAAUUUAUUAGACCUGAAUUUCAUUGUAUAAUGAAUAGAUUAUGGGUACAAAAAUAUAACUAUGUGAUUUUUUUUAUAUAAAAGUUUAAUUGAUUAUUACUUAUGUGAUAUAGAGCAAAUGAAUCUUAAGGCAAUAAGGAAGUAGCUUCAAUGAGAAUGUCAAGUUUCUUUUAUUGAUUGCAAUUGGUUGAUUACAAGUUUAAUUGAAAAUGGAAAAAAAAUCCAGAAGAAUGCAUAGGUGAGGGGUUGAAUAAAGAGGAAAAAGAAAUUAUUUUAAUAAACUGUAAAUAAAGAAGAGAUUUGGGGGUGCAACCAAAAAAGACAAAAAGAAGGGGUAUGGGGCACCCGUUGAACCGUAGCUCAAUCCUUCUAUAUAACCAAAAUAUAAAUAAUGUCUAUUUUUGUUAUUUCAACAUUUUUUUAUUAAUUUACCAAAAAUGCAUGUUAAAUCAUAUAAUAAGUAAUUAUAUUAUAAUCUAAGGUUACCAAACAUGUAACUAAAUUAUUUAUAAAAUUGAUUGUUUCAAAAUUUAUCCUAAAAUAGAUUUUUUGGGAAGCUAAUGCAAUCCAAAAUAUAUCCUAAAUUUUAUUAUUAUGCAAUACAGAUUUCUACCUACAUCAAUAUUUGCGGAGGGACAUAUCUACCCUAGCUGAUGUAUGCAGUAGAGAUUUAUUGAGAAUCUAUAUUUCGAACUCUACCAAUAUUCAAGCAAGGGACAUAUCUACUCUCUAAUAAAAGUGUACCCUACUUAAGUAUGUGGGGGGAAAAUAAGCCUUUACAACUGCAAAGAAUCAACCAGCCCGAACAUUCAACUUUUGUUGAUAUAGUGGGCAGCCGCUAGUUUUAUUUAUUAUUAUUAUUGUUUGGCACUUAUUGAUUUGAUGUGGGACCGGAUAAGAUUUGCUUAAUUUAUUGAUCAAGGAUCAAACAUUCAAACGUAAGAAAUGAAUAUGGCAUUGCUUUCGGCCGGCAAGUUUGACCCCAAAGGCAUCUUUUCUAUUAUAAAAUAGGGUAAAGAUAUUUGACAUUUCAGGAACUUUAGAGCCAUUUGCUAUCAUCUCUUUUGCAAAUCAGUAGAUAUUAUACAAACAAAAGAUAAACAAGAUCUCUUUCCAAUGUUGGUUGAAAGUGACAUUGCGGGGCCCGCGCUUCUAUUAAAUUAUCGUAUCAACAGAUUCUAGUUUGAGCACUCCAGUAAGGUUUGAUUUUCAAAAUUAGGCACAGCUUACUAUAGAUUCAUGCGGAAUUAAGAGUGGCGCAGCAGGAUAUAGACCCAUUGCUUCUUUGAGAAUGGCCUGUUAGUGUAUACACUAAAUUUUUUAUGUAUGUUUCAUUCACUUAUCCUUUUUUUCCCAGCUGAAUAUCUAGUUCAUUUUGAGCCCUUUUUAAAAUAUUAUGAUGGUUGGGAAACAAAGAGAGAAACCAUGUGAAUUUUAUUGUUAUGGUGUCUGUUGUAACUAAGAUGAGACCCUGCAAAAUUGUUAGUGUGCGUACGUUGAGUCUGCUUUUACAAAGACAUGCAAUGAUGCAAACAAAUGAAUUCUGAACCCCGCAAUUGAAUAAAAAUCGAUCGACUGGACUAAAUUGUAUGAUAAAAAUGAAAAUUUCCCUUAUUAACCGAUUGGGAAAAUACAGAAUAAUAAUAAUAAUUAUUAUUAUUAUUAUUUUGAUAAAUGACCUUGACGGUGGAGAGAGCUUCAUUAAUAAAAAUAAAUGAAAUUCUAUUACGCACAAAGGGACAUAGCGAGCCUUACGCUUUACUAGUCAUAAAUAUUUAUUAAACCGAUUAGCUGCAUGAAUAGAAACAGAAUAAUUAAAUAUUCGCAUCAAUUCACAAGUUACAGAUUCAGCUGCCCACGUUUGAAAAUCUCAUCAUCAUCAUCAUCAUCAUCAUCAUCAUCAUCAUCAUCAUCAUCAUCAUCAAUAACAUUCCGACACGUGAUGAGUACCAAUUAGUUCAACUAAUAAAAUAGGUUAGGAGUUGGAACCCACUUAAAGAGAUGGUUUACUCUUUCCAUUCUUCCUAUCCACUGAAUUGACAUCCUUUCCUACAGUCAUUCUUAAAACUUCAUUACGUGUGGUGUCUGUAAACCAUCUCCUCAUCUCUACCAACAGCACCGUAUCAGUGGUUUUGAUCUUAUCCGAAGACUUUUUUUUCUUUUGUUUUUUUGAUGAAUGACCAAGAUCCGCCUCUGAUUACAACAGAUACGGGAAGAGUUAAUAGAAGAAAAAUAUCCAAAAUGAAGAAGAAACUUUUCUCUUGAGUUUUUAUUCUCAUUUGUUUUCUUGAACUUGUGAUAACAUUAAGCAGCGUUACCUGUAACCUGAGUGGCAAGAUCAGAGGAAAGAAGCCUCCACUAGGACGUACAAUAUUGCACUCAAGAAAACUAUUCUGAUUUCUGCAAACAAGGAAAGCUAGCUUUAUAGCAUUUUCGGCAUUUUGCGUCUUUGCAAAAUGGUAUUGGAUUCACAGCUUAGUCAUGAUGGAUUCAGAGCUUAGUCGUGAUAAAAGUUCGUUUAAUACUAGAAAUUUAUGACUAAUGAUAAUUCGAACAUUUAUAUUCAACUAGAAAAGGCCUAAUGGGUAAGAGUAAACAAGAAAAAAACACACCAAUACUUGCCAUAAAAGUUUAUUAGAUAUAUUACAUCGAGAAUCAAUUUAGCCGUACAAAGAAGCAGAAAGACGUGGAGCGACAAGUACUUCAAGUGGUGUAGAUUUCUCUACGGUCAACCCUAAUCCCUCCCCCAUGUCCAAUGGUUCAUUUGAUGGGGUUGCAAUAUCAAAGCCAUGAAGUAAAGAAGCAAGUGUAAAUUGCAUAACUUGGAGGGCGAAUGAAACUCCAGGACACAUUCUUCUGCCACUACGAAAAGGUAACAAUUCAAAAUUUUGUCCCCUGACAUCAGUAUCCUUGUGCCUUGUCAAAAAUCUUUCUGGCUGAAACUUACAAGACUCUUCCCAGACAUGUGGAUCACGUUGAAGCUUCCAAACGUUGAUAAAAAGUUGUGUGCCGCUGGGAACAUUGUAACCACUUACUGUGCACUCUUCUAUAGACUCGUGUGGAAUUAAGAGUGGCGCAGCAGGAUAUAAACGCAUUGCUUCUUUAAGAAUGGCUUGUAAGUAAACUAAAUUUUUUAUAUCUGAUUCAUUCACUUGCCUUUUUGUGCCCACCUGAAUAUCUAGUUCAUUUCGAGCCUUGUUUAGAAUAUCAUGAUGAUUGAGAAGCAGGGAGAUAAUCCAUGUCAAUGUAACAGCUGUGGUGUCCGUUGCUGCUAAGAUGAGACCCUGCAAAAUUGGUAGUGUAUACAACGUUGUUAUGCUUUCAUGUAUAUGCAUAUUGCACUUGUCCACAAUGCAACCUAAUUAAAUUCCAUUAAAGACGAUAAGAAAAAAAAUCCAUUAAAGACUCAAUUUUUUUGGGUAUCUUUUGGCUUUUACUGACAGAUCAAAUCCACCAACAUAUUAUCAAAAACCUAUCCUAAAAUGUAGGUCCCAAUUGACUAAUGCAAUAAUGAACAGAUGACGAUUUCCUUGACUUUUGGUUCACCAUUUUACCCAAUCGACUGAUUGGGAGACAACAGAAUAAUAAAUAUUUUCAAUUCACAACUUGCAGAUUUAAUUGCUUUCAUUUAGAAAUCUCAUCUUGAAGAAUGAUGUAAACAACUAUCUGAAUGAUUAUAAGUGUAAAAUCGUUUAAAAGCAUAUAAUAUUCAAUUAAGAGAUUGAUACUACUAGUUCUUUUGUUUAGAUCUCUUGAGUGAAAAGAAGAAGUCCGAGCAAAGUCUUAUUUCAUUGAUAAGGAACAACCUUCCUACAACUUAAGACCAGAGUUUGAGCCUCAUUAAUGUGCGGUUAAUAUAAGUAAAAGAAUAAAAUUAAAAGAAGAGGUCUUGAUUUUUCAAACUCUAGAGGGGAUUGAGUCGCCCAUAGACUAAACCUAAAAGAAAAUUUUCGGUUAAGAGAGGCAUACCAGGCAAAUAGCUUUAUUGAUUGUAUCAACAUCACGACCAUAAUAUUGCUCUGUAUCUCCUAAAAUCGAAAGCAUCACAUACAUAAAAUCUUCUUCUUCUUGAUUCAUUUCCUGAGAAUCUCUCUUCAUCUUGUGCUCUUCUAACCAUCCUUGAACAACAACGUCUAAUUCUUUGGCAAUCUUCUUCAUUGACCUCUCAUCACCCCCUAUAUCCAACCAUCUCAAAAACGGCAAUGCAUCUGACACCACAAACUUACCACUCAUUUCAAAAAAUCUAGUUAAUAGUUCUUUCCAUUCUUCACUAUCCAUUGAAUUGCAUCCCUUUCCUACAAUCAUUCUUAAAACCACAUUACGGAUGCUGUCUGCAAGCCAUCUCUUCAUCUCUACCAACAACAUCUUAUUAGUGCUUUUGUUGUUGUCCCAUAACUGGUAUAACUCCUUAAAACAAGUCUUCAACUCGUACUCUCGUACAUGCUUCAGCUUCUCAAGCCGAUGGUUCGAGAGAAGCUCAAGUGUGGCUAUCUUGCGUGUCUCUCGCCAGUAAGAGCCGUAUGGGCUAAACCCAAACAUGGAAAAAUUGUAGCCUAAAAUCUCCAUGGCUAGAGUUUUUGGACGGCUGGCAAAGACUUUGUCGUGUGUAGUAAGACACUCUUUAGCCAUCUCCCAAUUACUCACAACUAAUGCUCGAUUUAUGCCCAUCUUGAUUGUGAAGAUUGGUCCAUACUUGUCAGCCAUGCAGCCCAACACCCUGUGAGGAGGUUCUGGCCCUCCUAAGAGGUGUAGAUGGCCAAUCACAGGCCAUGCUCCCCCAGCUUCUGGUGCUCCCCUCUUCUUCUUGCUUGUGUAUUUUCUAAGCAAAUUUCUUGAAACUGACAACGAGGUGUAUAGAAUGAUUAAAAGAGUGAUUAAAAUUGCUGCGACAGUACUUGUUUGAGACGAACCAAGAAUGUCCAUGGCUGCUACCACUAAAAUUUCUCGAGUGGCAGCAGGUGUAAAAUUUGGUAGCAGUUGCAAAAUUUCCUUAUAUUGAGUAAGCUUUUUUUUUUUUGGUCUUUUUUAGAAUUGAAUUGUUAUAAAUAAUAAGAAAAAUAACGUUGUGCUAUCAAUAAAGGUGGUCAACAGGCCGACGGGUACAUGUUCAUACAGUACGGCACGGCAUGAGCACGUUUCGGAAAGAUAAAUCGCACAGCAUGACACGCACGUGGCCGGGUAGGGCUCAAAUUUUUUGGUACGUGUGGCUUAAAAGCAAGACAUGCAAAAAGUCACGUAAUAAGCAUGUUUUAUUAGUAGGCUAGCACGCUAUCCGUGAGCCAUCAAUAGCACGUGAUCCAAAGUAUAUUAAAAUAAUUUUUUAAUAAAAAGUAAAAAUAAGUGUUAUGAUUUUACAAAUAUUUUAAAAUUAAAAUUUUAAUAUAUUUACUUAAAUUAAUUUAAGUCUUAGAUUUAAAAGAAUUCUAAUUGUUUUAUGUUUAUCAUUUAUUAAAUGAAUAAAUAAAUAUCAUAAUUUUAAUAAAUAAAGCUAUAACUAUCAUGAUUUUAUAAAUCAUAUAUCAAAAUUUUAUGACAAUUAAUAUUUCAUUUAUGAAAUCGUAACUUAGUUAACGGAGAUAUGUUUCAUUUGUGAUUUGUGAAUAAAAUAUUUUUCAUAUUUAUACACAAAAAAAUAAAAUUAUGAACGAAAUAUUUUUUUUAUUUUUUUAUUUAUACACAAAAACAUAAAAUUAAAAAUUGUAUUUUCAUUCAAUGGAGUUCAAGUCCAAUUAUAAUAUUAAUAGUUCAAAUAAAAAUUAGGUGUAAUUUACUUCGGUGUAGUUCAAAUAAUAUUGUUGUGUUAUAAUUGAAUUGGUAAUUGUGAAAUUAAAUAUUUAAAUAUAUAGUUGCAAAAUUAUGAUAAACUGAUAAUAAAAUGUUAAUUGUCCUUUUAAUAGUUAAUAAAAAUUAUUAUUGUUGUUGUUGUUGUUGUUAUUAUUAUUAUUAAAUAGGCUAAUGAGUUUGGAAGAGCAUGUUAGGUACAUGAGCUUAAAAAAACCACGCCAAAUAUGUGGGUUUAAAUAAACACGUGGACUUAAAGGAAAAAAAUUAAUAAGUCUUUUUUGGGUACGGCCCGAGCACAUCAUGUGUGGGCUCGUGCCAUGAGCUGUGCUUGGCUUAACAAAAAAAAUUGGGCACAGCACGGCGCGGCCCACUUGGAGGCUUUCAGUUGUUUCAAGGUGAUUGAAAAAAAAUGUAAAUAGAUAAAUUUAAGUAGAGUACAGUUGCAAUUCCUUUGAUACUAUUACAAUUAGAAAGUGUACAAAAGACAAAAUAGAGUUGUAAGCUUACGUACUAAAUUGUCAAAACUGGCAGCUAAAACGUUAUAUUUCAAACUUUGGAAAAUUGGCAGCACUAAUGUUACUGGUGAUGGUACUUGUUGAUUAGUUGAGACACACGUACCUAGGCCCAUUCAAAAGUUAAUCCAAGCCACAAUGACAAGUAAUGUGGAGCCGACGUAAUGAGCCCAAAGACAAAUGUUAUAGAAUAAAUUAUUGAGACAUUUGUGGUUGAUGUGAAGAAAAUUAUUAACAUGUCAGUCUCUAUCCGAAUAAUUGAGAGUAACGUACUUGCCAAAUAUUAAUUCUUUGUAUUCAGCACAGUCCAGAUAAUAAUUCUAUAUCCACAUGGUCCCCCAUAUUAAGUAAUUUAUUUAGUAUAUAAAGAUUACAAGAAAAUUUUAUAAUACCAUGAUUAAAAUAUUACGGUAUUAAUACCAUGAUAAAUAUAAAUUUAAUAAAUUAUAUAUAAAAAUAGUUAAAAAGUAGAAUAAAUAAAUUAAUAUAAGAGUGGUAAAUUGGUAUUUUAGAAUUACAUACAAAACAAACACUUAUAAAAAUAACAUAAAAUUUGUAAAUCAACAUUAAACUUUAAUUAUGCAAAAAAUAGUUUAUUUAUUUAAUUUAUCAAGCAAAGAAAAAGUUCUCUCAUCAUUGAAAAUAAAAAAAUUGCAUUGAAAAUAAUUGGAAUAAGUUUUAUUGAAUUGUUAUAAAUAUAAAUUCUAUAUUCAUCCAGUGCAUUUAUAAUUUUUUUAAAUUUUCUAUCAUAGUAUUUGUUUACUGCACAUAUUAAUUAAGAAAAAUUAUUUUUUUUGAUAUGGAUCAAGCCAAAAAGAAAAUAAAAGGAUAUUAUUAUAUUAUUAGACAUAUAUGUUAUAUCUAUAAAAUUGGACAUAGUUUCCAAUUUUAUACAUAUUUGAUGUAGUUUCAAACUUUACUUCUACUUGUACUUAAAGAUUAUUUAGGGUUGCUAUCGAGAAGAUUUAGAAUGAUGCAAAAUCAUGUCUUCUUACAAACAAUUUAGAAAACAUGAAAAGAAUAGUUUUUAAAAUCUAAUUUUGAGAUAAAUUCUAUUCUUAAUAAAAUUUCAAAUAAAUCAUCAAAUAUAUUACAUAAAUUCAAAACUAUCAUUAUUCAAAUUAGAAAUAAAAUCAAUAAAUAUAUAAGGUAAUCAUUAUUCUAAUGAGUUUCUAAUUUACAUUUGUAAGUUUUUUAUUUUUUUUCAAAUAACUCUUAUAUUAAUUUACUUAUUUUACAUUCUAUUUAUAAGUUAUAUGUUCCAUUUACAUAAUUUAUGUUUUAUUUUGCAUUAAGUAUUGAUUUGCAAGCUUCAUGUUAUAUUUAUUAGUUUUUAUUUUGUUUACCAAUUUACUAUUCUUAUGUUAAUUUACUUAUUUUACCCCGCAUUUACAAGUCUUAUAUUCCAUUUACGUAAUUAAUAUUUUAUUUUGCACUUAAUGUUAAUUUAUAAGUUUUAUGUUAUAUUUAUUACUUUUUAUUUUAUUUACAAAUAAUACACCAAUUUACUACUCUUACGGUAAUUUACUUAUUUUACCCUCCAUGUACAAGUCUCAUAUUUUGUUACAUAAUUUACAUUUUAUUUUACACUUAAUGUUGACUUACAAGUUUUAUGUUACAUUGGUUAGUUUUUGUUUUGUUUACCACUAAUACAUCAAUUUACCAUUCUUAUGUUAAUUUAAUUAUUUUACCUUCCAUUUAUAAGUCUUAUGUUUAAUUUACUUUUAUGUUUUGUCUUAUACAUGUUGAUUAACAAGUUUUAUGUCAUAUUUGUGAGUUUUUAAUUUGUUUACCAUUGAUACACCAAUUUGUCACUCAUAUGUUAACUUAUUUUUUUACCUUCCAAUUGCAUCAUUUAUAUUUUAUUUUACACGUAAUAUCGAUUUAUAUGUUUUAUAAGUUUUUGUUUUAUUUACCAAUAAUACAUCAAUUUACCAAUAUUAUAUUGAUGAAACGGAAGCGUAAAAGGGUUGAAGAUAGUUGAAACAAAGUUUAUGAAUAAAGAAGGUGUCAUGACCUAACCCAGACCUAACAAGAUAUUGUCUGUGUUGAGCCUUAACAAGGCCCGCACGGUUUUGUUCAUGGGGCGCCCAUAUACCCCAAAACGUGUCUUGCUAAUUAAGGUGUGGAUAACCCCUUAUAAACCUGACAUGUCUCUCGUACUUUGCCGAUGUGGAAUUUUCCUAGGGUGUUACAUACACGCCCCUUAGGAACUCAACGUCCUUAAUGAGGUUUGCCCCACCAUUGCUCAAGAGGACACGCGAAGUUGCUCUAAUACCAUAAUGUCAUGAUCCAACCCAGACCUGACAAAAUAUUGUUUGUUUUGGGCCUUAACAAGGCCCGUACGGUUUUAUCCCUGGGGCACCCAUACACCUUAAAACGCUUCUUACUAAUUAAGGUAUGAAUCACCCCUUAUAAACCCAACAUCUCUCCCGUACUUUUGCCGAUAUGAAAUUCGCCUAGGGUGUUACAUAUAAGAAGAGUUUAUCUCUCCACUGCCCCCUAUUCCCCUGGCACACACACGCCUCCAUAAGUCGAGUGACGGGGUUCAGACCGAGAGAUUUUGUCCUUUAAACCCCAGGAACAAAACCAUGCAGGCCUUAUUAAGGCCUAAAGCGAAUAAUAUCUUGCUUGAAUUGCUAAGGAUCCAAUAAGUCCAACAUUGAUUCCUUCGGACGUGUCAAUUGGAAAAAUGCGGCCAUAGUGACUAGGAUGGAUAUCUCGUACCCGAAAACUGGUUUGGGUUGGGUCAUGACAGAAGGUUAUUAAAUAAUUCUAAAUAGUACAAACUAGGGUUUUACACCCAUUUGUAUAAUAACCCUAAAUAUCUCGAUUCUAUCAAAAUAGGCAAAUCUAAAAUAUUAUUUCAUAAUAAAAUUCUCCUCAUCAAAAUAAGAAAAGGAAAAUGAACGGCACUCAAAUCUAGGUUCUAGAAAAAAGAUAAAAAUCCUAGAAAAAUUAGAAAAAAUAGGAAAAAAAACUUAAAACUAGAAAAUGACCAAGAAAGAAGUGAAAUGUUUAGCUCCGUUUUGGGCUAGAUUCUUCUUAUUGUAAGCUUCGAAAUGAUAUAUUAUACAUAAAAAAAGGAUACAUGUAGCUCAAUUUAUGACCUCCGGAAUGUACCUUACACAAUCAUUGUACAUCAUAUAUUGAUUUACUUGUUUUACUUGUUUUACCUUUCAUUUAUAAGUUUUAUGUUUCAUUUACACAAUUUAUGUUUUAUUUUAUACUUAAUGUUGAUUUAUAAGUUUUAUGUUACAUUUGUAAGUUUUUGUUUUAUUUACUAAUAUAUACAAAUUUAUCAUUCAUGUGUUGAUUUAUUUAUUUUACAUUCCACUUACAACUGUUAUGUCUUAUUAUUUAUAUUUAAUCUCAAUGUACAAGUUUUAUGUUAAAUUCACAUGUCUUAUGUUUUAUUUAUAUAAUUCAUGUUUAAUUAUGGUAUUGAUGUCCUGAUUUUAAUUAUAGCAUUGUUGUGAUUAAAAAAGUCAACUACAUCCUAAGAUUAAAAAUAGUUAUGUAUAUCUUCAAAAUUUCAAAAAGUAUUCUUUUUUUAAUCAUAAUACCCUUUAAAUAUGAUAAUUAGAAGAAACUGAUUUUAAUAUUUUUAAUAAAUAAGAAUAUAAUAUAAAUAAUUUAAUUUUUCAGUAGAGUAAUAAUAUUAAAAUAAUUUGAAAAGUUAAAUAAUUUGAAAAAUGUAAAAUACUAUAGUUAUUUUGAUGAAGUAGAUAAUAUAUUUGUAUUUAUUAUAAGGAUCUUAAAUAAAUGUUUGAGUUAAAUACAUUUGACAAUUAAUAAAAGACAUCUCAUGUAUUAAGUAUUAGAAUUAUUUUAAACAAAACAUUCAAAAUAAUUUAAAUUUUUAUAUAUCUAUUAUAAUAUUAUGUUUUCUAUUUAUUUUAAAAUUUACUUUAAAUAUAACAAAAUAUGUUUAAUAGAUUGUAAAAUAUUAAAUUUUUUUAAUAUUGAAAUUAUUUUAAAAUUUUUACACUAUUAUAUUUAUAUUAUUAUAUUUCUAUUUAUAUAAAACAUUGGAGUCAAAUUUUUAGGUCAAUAAAGUUAAAGAAUAUUGUAUCAAAAGGGGAUCUAGGUAUCCCUUAUUGAAAACAUUGGGGUCUUAGUGAUUGUUUCCCCAAACUUUGGGGGUGUAGAUAUCAUUUUUCCUAUCUAUUAGAUUCUAAUAUGCAACAAGCAUUGCACAUGUCUAUUUUUUAUGUUAAUAAUAUAAGGGAUUUUAUCUAUUAGAAGUUUUUCAAUGAAGGUUCCCACAUUUUAUUAAAAUGUGGGAAUGACUUUUAUAAUAUUGUAAAUGAGUUUUACAAUAUUACAAAAUUCGUUACUACAUUUUAAAUAAAAUGUAGGAACCCUCAGUAGAAAAACAUUCUUUAUUUAUUACGGUCAGUAAUAUGACUGAUGAUAUAUAUCCAGCUAGUUUUUUUUUUUUUUUUUUUCCAACACAUAUAUCUUUGCAAUUAGAUGUUUAUUGAUAUACAUACAAUUUGAAAUCUAUUUCUGAAAUCUGUUGGAACUAACUAUUUCUGUUCUAUUGUAAUAAAAUCUAAAUUUAUACCUCCGUGUUUGGGAGGAAAUUCUACCCGUACCACAACUUGUCAAAUUUAUACUUCUACUAAUAUCGUGAUAGAAAUUUUACUCCUAUCUAAUUAUGGGAAUAGAAUAAGAGCCUUGGCGGCCACCCCUCAAUGUUUGAUGAUAGGAGAGGUACCACUAGUUAUUAUCUAAAUUGCGGCCGGUUAAUUUUUUUUAGUAUUACUAGUUCUUGGCACUUUAUUCAUUAAAAUGCGUUCUGAUAAGAUUGCUUACUUAAUAUAUUGAUUUUACGAGAAUCCAUUCCUUAUUUUUUUGUUUUAUUCUAUUUUAUUAGUUUUUUUAUUCCUUGCCUCUGCUUUUCUACAAAGUGAUUAAGAUAGAGUUUCAUAUUGAUGGUGACAAUCGAAUCAGUAUUUUUUUUUUUCAACUUUAUUGACAAUUAAAUUAACUUGUUUCAAUAAAUUAUGAAUGUAAGGAAAGGCAAGGAGAGGAAAAAGAGAGAGAGAGAGAGAGAGAGAGAGGAGAGGAUCCUAUCCUAAUUUUAGACACAUCCAUUUGAUCAAAAUGUAUGCAAUAAACACAACAUUGAUUACGGUCAAACAAUUUCACCUAAAGGUAUUUUUUCUAUUUAAAAAAAAUUUAAAAUAGUAUCAUAAAUAAAAAUUCUUAAGUGCGGGCACCUUUUUUUUUUUUUAAUUUUAAAUAUGAAUACGUUAUUGAGUAUGAUUUAAUAAAGUUAGUGUUCAAUUCAGUAUGAAGCCAUAUAGUUUAGUAGCAUAUAUAUAUUGACUUUAUUAAAUCAUAUAACUUAAUAACAUAUUCCUAUGAAAAAAAUAAGGUUAUCCACGUGAGAAAAUGACUCGUAUCAUAUACUUUUGACAAUAUAAGAACUUAGAGGCAUUUGCCAUCUUUUCUUCUGCAAAUUAGUAAAGAUUAUAUAAAAGAUAAACGAUAUUUCUAAUUGUUGAAUUAUAUAAUCCACAACAGAGCCAAUUGGUUCAGACAUGGUACCCACCUCUAUUAUUAUCCAGUCAAAAUAGUGCAAGAUAUUAAUUACUCUAGGGAAAAAAAUAAUUCGCACCCCAAUUUUUUUUUAAAUAAUCACAUAGAUUCUUUGAAUUUUAUAAAUGACCAGCCAAACCUUUUUUUUUACAAAUAUACCCUUUGAUUAUAAUAACUCAAAAAUUAAUUUUAAAUAAAAUAUUCUUUAAUAAAUACAUAUAUAGUAUUAAAAUAUAUCAUUUAAACAAUAUUUUAAAAAUUAAUAACUCAAAAAUUAAUUUUUAAUAUUAUAAAUUAAAAUAUAUAAUAUAAAUUUUUUAGGUUAUUUUCAAUUUUAAAAAUAUUUAUUAUAAUUUUAAUAAAUGAUUGCUUGUUGCUUUGAGACAAUUUGCGGCUAUGAUUUAGACGAAUCCGGCAUGUGACAGGCUUAAUUUUGUUAUAAAGCGCACGAUUAUCUGGGUAGAAACGUGUCUUUAAAUUAAGGGCUACAUUGUUGAAUCUCCUGAUCAGAUUCAUGUUUAACUUUAGUUCAGAGCAAGUAGAACACCGUAAGCUUCCUGAACAAUCGAAUAGCUGAACAAAUUCCAGCUGCUGACAUGUCAAAGUUAGUUAUACAUGACAGCUGAAAUUGUUACAAACUUUAUAUUAAGUAGACUGAUCGAGUAGCUUCUGUGGCUAGUUAGUUAGAUUCAUUAGAGCUACUAAAUAAGCUGCAUUGUAAUCAUUCCUUUUGAACUGAGCUAACAAUUGAAUCUAGCAUUUUUUCCAGAAUAUUCAAGCUCUUUUUGUUAUGCUCUUUCAUUUUCUUGCUCGCCGAACACUCAUCAUACAUUUUCUAAGAACUUGGAUGAAAAUGGCGGAUACCCUGUUCCUUCAAUGUCAACACUCUCGUGUUUAGCUUUAGUUUAUAAAUCCACUUCACUUGAGUGACAAUAGCAUAUGCCCAGUUCCUUCAAUGUCAAAACAUAAUAGCAGGCUUACAAGUAGAAGUGCUUUUCCUGGUUUUGCUUUUUAAUCUUAUUACUCCUUGCAGUCUUGUCAUGUUGAUUGCUAUAAGUAACAAAUUACCUUUUUCCUUUAUAAUCUUACAGCCAAGUGAAUCCAAUACAUAUGCUGAUAUAGAGGCAGUUUACCAAUUAGAAUAUCUAAUUACCCUUUUCCUUUAUAACUCAACAAUUAUCUUGCACAAGAUUUCUAUUCAUUUUUUCUUCUUCUUUUAUAAUUUUCCUUUAUAACUAAUUAUCUUUUUCCUUUUAGCAUAUCAGCAUAUGAUAUGCCUGCUUUUUCCACCUUUCAGCUAUAUUGAGAGCCUACGUCUUGUCUAUAGUAUUAUUCACUUUGCAGGAGUCAAGUGUUUGUGAUUAUGCUUUAAGUGGAUCGAGAGAUGACGACUGGUCGCUCUGCAGACUUGGUUUAUGCUGUUUUGCAUUAUAUUGUGUGUCAAAUUUCUCUUUAGACAUCUAGUGUUCAAGUCCAAUUAGAAAGUUAAGAUUGCAGCUGUUGUGUUUUUCUGUUGAUUGUCCUUGCAGUAAUGUGUAUAUGUGCAUAUGUUCUGUUUGCUUGUUUCCAAUGUUCUUGCUGUUCUUAAAGGUGUUUAUGAAAAUAUUAUUUCUGAUGGAAAAAAUGAUGCCUUGGGUUUCUGUUAGGGCGAGCAUUUGUUCGCUCGACUGAGGGAAUUGAUGAGGCCUAUGAUUCACAUUCCAUACUGUAAAAUCCUGGGCACCUUAAUGCUGAUCACAAUUAAAUACACUUGUAAUGCUGAUUGAAAAGGGAAACUGGCCCACUUAUAACAAAAUUGUGAAGAAUCAGAUUCUGUUUUAAGGGGUUAAAUGCAAAGAAUUAAUACUUCUGUGAUCUUUGUGCAGAUUGACUUAAGUUUGAGGAUCAAUUUGCAAUUUAGUUGCUGACGUGUCUAAAAGUUCGUUAUGUUUGUUUGGCUGCUUAUGGAAAUCUUUAGAACUGACUUUAUAAACAGAGCUGAUGCGUAGCAUAUGGUGUAUGUUACUUUUCUCUUUCGUUUUUCGUCCAAUUUCUGUGAUUCUAAAAUCUUUGUAAAGCUUGUAAUCUCCUUUACAAGAUUUGACAGAUUUGUAAUCGAUUUGAGCAAUAAAAGAGUGCCAUUUUUCCCUUUGAAUUGUGUUGUUUGGUGUUGGUGUUCAAGAUCUGGUUUCUAAUCUUGUAAGUGGGUUCUCGGUUUUUGCUUCAUUCUUGGAAAUUCUUCUUAGCUUCUGUUGUAUUCAAACUCAACAGGUGGUAUCAGAGCCAUAGGGGGAUCGCAACAAUGUCACUUCCAAAGCACAAGAUUGAGAAAUUCCCCAUUGGUGGUGAUUUCUCACUUUGAAAGAUGAAAAUGAGAGCUCUCCUUGUUCAUCAAGGAUUGGAGUCAGCCUUAGAAGAAGAAGAUCCAGAAACUGUUGGAAGUUCUAGAUCUAGUGAAAAGAUGAAGCAUAUUCACAAUAGAGCCCAUAGUACCCUGAUCUUGAGUCUGAGUGACUCAAUUCUGAGGGAAAUCUCAGAUGAUAAAACAGCUCUGGGCAUUUGGAACCAAGUGGAGGCUUUGUGCAUGAAGAAAUCACUUGCUCACAGACUAUUCUUAAAGAAGAGGCUGUAUACCUUUUCUAUAAAAGAAUGUGUGUCAAUACAAGAGCACAUUGAUGUUUUUAACAAGAUUAUUCUUAAUCUCGAGGCUGUGUGCUUUAAAGGGUUUUUUUGAAGCAGUUUUUAUGGUCAAGAAUCAAACUGAAUCAAAUCUGCAAGGUGGAGAUUGUGAAGAAUCAGAUUCUGUUUUAAGGGGUUAAAUGAAAAGAGUUAAGACUUCUGUGGUCUUUAUGCAGAUUGACUUAAGUUUGAGGAUCAAUUUGCAAUUUAGUUGCUGACGUGUCUAAAAGUUCGUUAUGUUUGUUUGGUUGGCUGCUUCUGGAAAUCUUCAAAACUAGCUUUAUAAACAGAGCUGAUGUGUAGCAUCUGGUGUAUGUUACUUUUCUCUUUCGUUUUUCGUCCAAUUUCUGUGAUUCUAAAAUCUUUGUAAAGCUUGUAAUCUCCUUUACAAGAUUUGAUAGAUUUGUAAUCGAUUUGAGCAAUAAAAGAGUGUCAUUUUCCCCUUUGAAUUGUGUUGUUUGGUGUUGGUGUUCAAGAUCUGGUUUCUGAUCUUGUAAGUGGGUUCUCGGUUUUUUGCUUCAUUCUUGGAGAUUCUUCUUAGCUUCUGUUGUAUUCAAACUCAACAAAAACAAGGAAAAUCGCACCUGGGGACUUAAAAGGAUCCCCUUUUUCCUGUAAUAGAUUCAGGGUCUGGCUUUUUUUUAUAGAUGUUUUUUGUAACUAUUAAUAAGUGAUGGAAGAAAACAAGGGAUAAUGAUGCAUCAAGUGUAAUUUUGAAUGUGAUGCUGUUGGUUGCAGGCUUCUUUAUUAUUAGUUUCAGGCUGGAAUUAAUUGCAUCCAAGAGAGUGACGCUCGGCUUGUGUACCUAUCAUAUUGAGUUUUUCUAGUUUCUAAAUUUGGUCAAUUUUAUUGUGCUAGUCAAGUGGGCUAGAAUAAUAUUGGUCAAAGUGACAUGCUAUAAUUAUCAGGAACUAUUAUCUACAGUUAUCUCCUCAAUGUGUAUUGCAUCCUAGGUUUGAUCAUCAUAACUUCUAAUAAAUAUUAAUAUGGUUGAAUGAUAGUCUCAAAGCUUGGGCUCAAAUUAUGGUAAGCACCCGUAGUGUCAUGGAGCAGCAGCCUCAGGCUUACGUGGCUAGCAAAUAUUGGGGUAGUGAGAUUAUGAGUUGCACCAACCCUCCCCUAAUUCUAAGCCUAGCAAAUGUACUUGUAUUCUGUGCUGCAUGCGCAAAUGUGCCACCUCUCGCAACAUUUAUUGAUUAUUUAGUAUCAUCUGUUUAAGUAACAUUAAUCUCUCUUUCAAAACAUGCACCGCCAAUGCAAUUAUAAAGCUCAUCAAAGGAUAUAAUAGUAAUGUAAAGCCUUGUAGGCGGUUUUAGCUGCUGGAAUUUAGUCCUCUUUCAUAAUACCACCAAAUUUUUGAAAAGCUUCCCUAAAAUUCUCGUAAACAUGUAUUAAUAAAUACCACAAACAUAUCCUUUGAAGUUUGCCUUUAGAGCUUCGUAUCAAUCGAUUUGUUUUUCUACACUACUUUGACAUGCAUCGUGGAUGAAUUGCUCAUUUGUAACUAAUGAUGGUUGAUUUAUCUUUAUUAGAACUGGCUUCUUGAUGACAAAUGAUUAAAUGGGCGUGGUCCACAAUUUGACAGGGAACAGAUGAUGAUGUUGUGAACUGGUUUCAUGGAAAUAAACUCUGGAAAAUGGCAAGAGAUCUGUUAGAGCCUUUGUGGAUUAAAGGAGGAGGGCACUACAACUUGGCGCUAUAUCCAGAUUACAUCCACCACCUUUGCUGGUUUACUCAAGAAAUGAAGAACAUGAACACUAAAAUCUGACCUAAUAAGAUUUGGCAGAAACUCCAUCUACCAAUAAUGUCCAACGCCAACGCCGGGUCUGCUAACAGGUUCUGUAGGAUUAAAUGCUGCCGACCCAAAUGCCCUGAAUGUCCAAAACUUAGCCGCACGAAAUGUUGCUGGAAACCUAAAUGGCCAAAAUGUUGGAUACCAAGCUGUGUCAACUGUUGUCGGUGGCCCAAAUGACCAAAAUGCUUGAGACCCUGCUGCUGCAUUCCAAAAUGUUUGAGACCCUGCUGCU
rnacentral:lncRNA from 1 species